UUGCCUUUUUAUUUUUAUUUUUUUUAUUUAUAACUUUUUUUAUUAUAAACUCACGCACCCUACAUACGUCGGUGAGGUUUGAAUCUAUGACCUCAACAUUGUUGGUUAGCCUACCUAACCAACCAAGCCACAGCUUACCGACCUGGCGACGUUGCCUUUGAGUAUACGAAUCUUACUUUGACUCAAGUUUGGUUUACGGUUUACCAAGAUUUUGUUGUUAGGGAAAGUUUAUGCGUUUGGAAAUUAUCUCAUUGCUAACUAGCGCUGUUACGUUAAAUGAAUUGAAGAGCUUUAUAUUUGUUAGAGUUAGUGGUGUUAAAGUUGUAACUAUAUAGAAAAGUCAUCUGUACGAAUCUGUUGAUACCCAAAAAAUCAAUAUUUAUGCUCAAUAGAUAUUCCAAGCUCAAUAAAGAAAUACGCAUGAAAAUCACAUUCGAAAUAAAAAAAAUUAUAUAUUUAUUCGAAUAUUCAUGCCACGCACGGGGACUCAAGCCACAACCACGUUUUUGGGGCUUACAAAUUUAGGUGUGGUGUGGAAGGUAACAGAAGUACACGAAGUCCAUUAUAGAUGUUACAUCAUUGGCGGUUUUGGACUUGGGACCGAAACCCAGGCCUAAUAAUGUAAAUAUUUAUAUGGGCAUGCAAAAAAGAGAGAAUCCUUAAUGCAGUAGAUUACACCGCAACAGACCUUUAGCCGCAGCAAGCCUCUCAUCUUUUGCAACUCAUGUGCUUCCAGCUCCCACGCUUUAUGCCUUCUUGCAAGCUCUUUCAUGUAUUUUGUUUAUUUGUCAUGUUAUCAAAAUCACGCCAAGUUACUGCCAAUAUAUCACAAGAAGCAUGCCACUGCAGCAAGUUACUGCAGGGAGACCGGGGAAAACACGCACAAACCUCCUAGAAGCUUUGGGCCCAGUUCUUGAACUUAGAGGGGUAAAUAGAGGAGAUCAAUCUAAUCUAUCAAUCCUAGCGGUCUCGGUUCAAAAUGACCCCAACAAAAUCGUACUAAAUCAGGAAGUGAUUGGGGAAUUGAAGCCAAAUACAAGGACAAUAUCAAUGUUAUAGAAUCAUUGUUGCAAUUGUGCCAUUCACUGUGUCAUUUUUUGUACCACAUAGUCCCUACAACAAUUCUAGUGAAUGUAAGAAUGAUAUUGGUAUUAUGAAGGCUGAUGGGCUAUGUCAUUUUGCUUGCAGGUGAUCUUCCUGUGGUGAUAUCAUGUGCUAGUCUUGCACUAAAGCAGAUGCAGGGAUCAUGAUGUAUGACCUUGUUGCUUCAGUAUCUGUGGUAUGUAUCUGGGUAGACAUCUGGCCCUUUCAACUUCCUCAUAAUUAAGCAAAAAACAAUAUGUUGUUGCUGACUGUCCUAUUGUAUUUCUUUGUAUAGGAUUAAGAAUUUGAACUUGAGCACAUAUGAAAUAAUGGAAGUGUGAUGGCUGAUUGUCGUAUUAUUUUAUUUUUCUUUGUUUUUUGUUCGGUUAUUCAGUUAAAUACCAUUAUACAAAACUUUUGUUAAGCUGUAUCCUUUCUGUUUCAUCCGAUUAGCUAGUACUGUAAAUUACUUUUGUUAAGCUAUAUCCCUUUUGUUUCAUCCGUUAUAUAGAAUUAUAUCCACUGAAAUACCUUCAUUUUUAUGAAACAAUGUAUUGUAUUCGAUGAGAACAGAAGAGAGAAAAGAAGAGCAUUAGGUAUGCAUCAAGCUCUUCUCUGAGCAUUUGUUUGGUUACACAAAAUUUUCACUGUCGGAUACAUUUCGCAAAAAUCUUCCUAGUCUCCACUUGCCUUCUAGAUCCCUUCCCUGCCGAGAUUUCCCUUCACCGCAUAGAUUUCCCUUCGUCAUUGCGCUCUUAAUCAGAGCCUACACUACCAGGACAAGCACUUUAGCCGACGAAAAAUUUUCGUCGGCUUGUUAGCUUAAUUCGUCGGCUAAGAUUUCGUCGGGAAAAGGUCGUCUGUGACGACUUUAGCCGACGAAAAAAAAUUUUCGUCGGCUAUAGUCCCGCAGUUUAUCCGACGAAAAACAUGUCGUCGGUUUUUUUCCCAGACUUUAGCCGACGAAACAAUUAAGAUAUUCGUCGGCUAAAGUUUGUAAAAAAANNNNNNNNNNNNNNNNNNNNUUUUUGGAGCUCGAUUUUAUCUCUCACGGCGGCGUCACUCGAUGCACCACCUGUCCAGCAAUGAAGUAGAGACGACGGCGAAGCUUUUGGGACAAGUGUGGCGGUCUCCGGUGGCUUGACGGCGGAGCUAGGCCGAGAAAAAAAUCUAGUAGGCGAAAUAGACUUCUUACCAUCCAUCUUCGGUAAAACUCCUAUAUAAAGAACUUUAGCCGACGAAAUUCUUUAUUUUCGUCGGCUAAACUCUUUUGAAACUUUUGAAAAUUUUGAAAAUUUUGGUUGACCGCCAAAAAAUUUUGAAAAUUUUUCAACUUUAGCCGACGACUUUUCAUAUAUUUUCGUCGGCUAAAGUCCUUUGAAAAUUUUCCUCCAAAUUUGGUUUACCGCCCAAAAUUUUUUGACCUUAGCUGACGACUUUUUUAAUAUCUCGUCGGCUAAAGUCUAUAAAUUCACAAAAACGCUCAUAUCUCCCUCUAUAUUACGUAGUUUGGUCAAACCUUCCACACGAAAAACUUUCACAUAGAUGAGACGCACCGCCUAUAUAAAAAUUUUGAGACAUUUGUCUUCCGACGAUAGGGCUCCCCAUAGGGAAUAAUAACGGUAAAUAGGGUUGACCGCUACUAUCGGCACCGAGAUUUUACCCGAUUUACGUGAUUUUUGAACCAUAGCCGUAUUUCACCAUUCUGAACACAUCUUAUUUCACGAGAUUUUUGAUAAUUUUGCUUCCUAUACAGAGUUGGUUCACAAAGUUGUAUAACCAACUAAACAAGUUAUACAACAUUAGUAGACACGUUGUGAUUCCGAUGACUAAAAUUCACAAACCAAAAUUCGACCGUCAGAUAUGAUCAUUAUGACGAAAGAUGUUUAUGGUAAAAAAUUUAACUGGAUCCGACAACGUUAAGGACUCGAUCGAAACGGUUAACCCUAAUCCAUCGUCACUUAUCACACGAAAACGCUCAUAUCUCCCUCUAUAUUACGUGGUUUGGUCAAACCUUCCACACAAAAAGCUCUCACGUAGAUGAGGCGCAACUGCCCAUAUAAAAAUUUUGAGACAUUUACCUUCCGACGAUAGGGCUCCCCAUAGGGAAUAAUAACGGUAAAUAGUAGACACGUGAUUCGGAUGACUAAAAUUUACAAACCAAAAUUCGACUGUCCGAUAUGAUCAUUAUGACGAAAGAUGUCUAUGGUAAAAAAUUCAACUGGAUUCGACAACGUUAAGGGCUCGAUCGAAACGGUCAACUCUAAUCGGAAAUUAGAAAACUGCAUUUUGAAGCCCUAAACGGACUCGGAUGGCCAAAAAGGCCCAUACAUCAUGGCGUUAGAAAUGAGUUUGACUCGUAGGGCCGUUACGCUUCCGGUAAGGUAUCACAAUAGUCAAUCGGACACCAAAAACCAAAUCUGCAGCAUAAUGAAUAAUAAGAGUAAAUUACAUUGACCGCAACUAUCGGCACCGAGACUUUACCGGAAUACUGUGAUUUUUCAACUGUAGACGUAUUUCACCAUUCUGGUCAUAUCUUAUUUCACGACUUUUUUGUGUUUGAAGGUUUUACGUAUAGUUUUUUUUUUCCAGAUGAGUUGUUGUCCAGAUCUGUAAAUAUAAGGCACUUUAGCAGAUGAAAUUAAGGCACUUUAGUCGACGAAAUUAUAUUUUUCGUCGGCUAAACUUUUAAAAAUUUAGUCGGCUAAAGUUCACAGACUAUAGUCGACGAAAAAAAUUAUUCAGACGACGAAAUUUUAAUUUUGUUGGCUAAAGUUGACCAUAGCCGACGAAAAUUUUUAAUUAGCCGACGAAGGGAAAUUUCGUCGGCUAAAGUCUACUUUAGCCGACGAAAAAAUAAUUCGUCGACCUGGUUUUUUUAUUUUCGUCGGCUAAAGUCUUUCUUCUGGUAGUGCUAGGUUUUGUGCUCUAAAUAUGAAACAAAAUUGAGAGAGAGAGAGAGAGAGAGAGAGAGAGAGAGAGAGAGAGAGAGAGAUCACAUUUGUUUGAAAUUUCUGAUAUUUGUAAGAGUACUUCUUUCAUUAGGUUUUGGACGAGCUGACGGCUCGUGACUAUUAGUUGGCCGUAUAUGCUACGAAAAUUGUCUUACUAGUGGUAAAAACACCUAAUAAAAAAAGUCCUUAAAAAUUAAAAAGAAACUUAUUUAAAAAUUUAGACCCUCAUAAUUGCAAACCACACAUAGAUGUGAACUUGUGCGAUUAAUCCAUCAUCACAAUCAUGUAAUCUUUGAUAAAAGCAGUCUUCUAAUCCUUAUGUUUCGGUCAGCUGCCUAUGCUUAUGAUUGAUGAGUUGGACAGAGCCUUAGACAAAUUAACAUUAGUGAAAAGCCAUUGCACGUAUGUGUGUACAAAUUAAAACUAAAAGAUCGAUAUACUUGAAUACUCUCAAGAAUCGAAAACGUAAAAUGCAAUAGAAAUGUUAUUAAUUAUUUCGAUCUUACCACAACAUACAUUGCAUAACAAUGAAAAUUCAUAGCAGUUUGGGUAACUUGUCGAGGAUACCGAUGAAAACAAAAUCUUUCCAAUAUCAUUUUAUGUUAUAUUAUUGAAACAUAAAAUGAGUGUGGUCUGUAAUUAUAUAGAGCCCUCGUAAAUUCGUAAUUAUUGGAGCGUAAAUUCAAGUAUCCCUUUUAAAACGUUUUGGGAAAUUUCAUAGAGAAAAAAAAAAAAAGUCGCAAGUACAAGAAAUUGAAAGAAAGGAGGGAAGGAAGAAAAAGUCAUGGGGAGCGCAAAACGAGUCUAUCCAACUGCCAUCAAAACAACGAGGUGGAGCUGGCCCACAGGUUUGAACGGUCAAACAAGACUGUUGAAAGUUGAAAAUCCAGACAUAAAUUUUUUGGGCUCUUGUGUUUUGAGUUUUUGACUCUCUCUCUCUCUCUCUCUUCUUCAGACAAAACCAACCCAACCGGCAACCCCAACCCUCUUGUAAUCUCUCCUCCACAUUUCAAUUCCAAUCCCUCUCUCCCCUCUCUCUGUCUCUCCUUGUUCGUUCAACUACUGGAAUCACCUUUGACGCUUUCUCCCAUUCAUCUCUGAUCAACGGCUCAUGACACACCGUCACGGCCACGCUUUCAUUUCCACAAACCACCUGUGACCCGAUCGGUAUGUCUCGAUCUCACGCUUUCUUUUCGUUUUGUUCGUUUUACUUUUCCGGCCACCGCUUACGUGUUUUUUCUUUCCGAUUGUGCUGAAUACUUUCACUCUUCAUAUGUAUUGUAUAUACAUUUUUGAUAAUUGAAUUUUUUCUUCUGCUUGUGUCAUGAUUGGUUACCAUUAAGGAUUAUUUGAAACAUAUUUUUGCUGCUUCUGUUUGAUUUCUCGGAAGUCGCUGCGCGUGUUUUGUGCUUGCUCAGUUUUCAUGAGUUCUAAUUUUUCAUUUAAUAUAUGUUGUUUUAAUUGCACCUUUUGUUGUCCACUACGCUCCCGGAGGAUUCGAUAAGUCUUCAAUCUAACCCUUCAUUUUUAGCACUAUUGAACUAUGACUUUCUCUUGAAACAAUUUUGUAUUAGAUAUUUUUUCUGGUGUUAAGAAUCUUUUUGUGUAAUGUUCAUACAACUUGAAUGUUGUUCCAUCUUGGUUUAUGUAUAUUUGACGAUGGCAAGUUGUAUCAUGUUGUUAUGUAUCAUUUUGGUUUAAAGGAGUUCCUGUUGUUUAAUGCUAAUAUGUUCAUAUGUUUUCUGUUGGUCACUAGGUCAGCCAUUGAUUUUUUUAAUUGAGGCGACAAAAGGAAUCUAGAAGACAAGUAUCUCAGUUCUUGAUUGUGCUCAUGGCCUCUGUAAGUGUGGCUCCUGCAUCUGGAUUAAGAGACCGCAGUGGAAAUACAGUUGCUCUCGACAGUUUGCCGAAUGAGAUGAAUGACAUGAAAAUUAGGGAUGACAAGGUUAGCAAUUCCCACUCAUUAUUCUGCCUCAAUAUUUGUCAUUGGAAUGUUUCUUUUGAAUAAAGUCUCCUCCUAGAUUGUGAAAUCUGAAAGUAAUGUUUUUCUUUUGACAGGAAAUGGAAGGAACUGUUGUUAAUGGUAAUAGUACCGAAACAGGUCAUAUAAUUGUCACAACUAUUGGUGGAAGAAAUGGCCUGCUGAAACAGGUGACUUUUUUGUAUGAUUUCUGUUCGUAGCUUAUGUACAGAUGCCUUUUGUUCUGUUUACUUAAAUUGAUUCUGGUAUACUUUCCUUUUCGAUGACUGUAGACAAUAAGCUAUAUGGCUGAGCGUGCUGUUGGACAUGGAUCUUUUGGAUUGGUUUUCCAGGUAAUUUUUUAAUUACAGUGGUGUGGAUUAGUUUAAUUUCAGUGACCUGUGUGAAUUGUUUCCUAACUUAGAUUUCAUUAUCAAAAUUCACCUCGUGAAAUUGCUAUUGUAAUGUUUUUAUCCAGGCCAAGUGUUUAGAAACUGGAGAAACUGUUGCUAUUAAAAAGGUUCUUCAAGACAAAAGGUACAAGAAUCGGGAGUUGCAAACCAUGCGUCUUCUAGACCACCCCAACAUUGUGUCUCUUAAACAUUGUUUCUUUUCCACAACUGAAAAGGAUGAGUUAUACCUUAACCUUGUUCUUGAGUAUGUCCCUGAGACUGUCCAUAGAGUGAUCAAACAUUAUAGUAAGAUGAACCAGAGGAUGCCGCUGAUUUAUGUUAAACUCUAUUCUUACCAGGUAUGCUUUUGCACAAGUUUAAAUUGUUUUAUGCCCUUCUCAAAAAAGAAGAAAAUUAAAGAAAAAAGAAUGAAGAGAAAUGUCUAUGGAAUACACAUUAUAUGAAUUUAGAGUGUUUUUUACUCUUUCUUUCUUUUUUUUUUUCAAAUGUUUUGUUGAACAUAGUAAAUACAAAAUAUGUUUAAUGGAAUUGGUAAUGCGCUUAAUGAAAAUGGAUAUUACUCUGGCAUUUUAUUAGCUGUUAAAUCUUGUUAUUAAUGUGCUGUUACAGAUUUGUAGAGCACUUGCUUACAUUCACAACACUAUUGGAUUGUGCCAUAGAGACAUAAAGCCUCAGAAUUUGUUGGUAAGUUGAUAUUAGUGAUGUAUUAUACCUUAAUUUUAUGUGAAAUGCAUAAACAAGUCAAUUGAUCAUCUAUCCACAUUCCCACAGGUCAAUCCACAUACUCACCAGCUUAAAAUCUGCGACUUUGGUAGUGCAAAAAUCUUGGUUUGUUUUCUGCACUGAGGCAUUUUCUGAAUAUUCUCUUAUUCUGGCUAAUUGUCAUUACACUGAAUUGGAUGUACAUGUGACAGGUAAAGGGGGAACCCAAUAUUUCUUACAUAUGUUCAAGAUACUAUCGAGCACCUGAACUUAUAUUUGGUGCAACAGAGUAUACCACAGCCAUUGACAUCUGGUCUGCUGGAUGUGUUCUCGCUGAACUUCUCCUCGGACAGGUUGGAGUUGUUCUCCUUUUAAGCUAAUUUGUUCUUUCAUUCGACUCAUUGAUGUAAAAUAUGGUAUGCUAAUUAUGAGUUACCUGUUUGUUCCAGCCUCUAUUUCCUGGGGAAAGUGGAGUAGACCAGCUUGUUGAAAUCAUUAAGGUAAUUUAGAGCUUUGAAUUAAUUAUCUCCAUUUUAAAGUCUGUUAGAGAAUGGAUGAUAGGAAAGUGAUUUAAUUGUUAUUCUCAUAACGAUUUAUCCUACUGUUUUGUAGGUUUUAGGCACACCAACGAGGGAGGAAAUUAAAUGCAUGAACCCUAAUUAUACAGAAUUUAAAUUCCCCCAAAUUAAAGCUCAUCCAUGGCACAAGGUACUUGGACUGUCACAUGUGGUUUAUUUAGUUCCAAGAAAUUUGCAUGAUAAUAUUCUUUUUAUAUAAUUAUUCACCAGAUAUUCCACAAGCGCAUGCCCGCUGAAGCCGUGGAUCUCGUAUCAAGGCUACUUCAGUACUCUCCAAACCUCAGAAGUACAGCUGUGAGUACUUUUUAUCAUAUCCAUGAUUUUAGGCUGUAUAUAUUUGAACUCAUUUUAUAUCUCCAAAGGUUUCAGUAUAUCCAAAGAUAAAAGAAAAGAAUGAACAUUAUAGCUCUAUGUCUGACAAAAGCCAGUUGUUUUAGGUUGUGUUAUAUCCUCAAAUUAUGAAAUGCCCAUUGUUUCUAUUUUGCAUGUGCAAUCCCAUGUGUAGUUGAUUAUAUCAUUAUUUGUCUGUUCUAAAUUAUCUAUGGUGUUUACGAGGAGCAUGUGCCUUUGAGAUUAGUUUUGAUAAGAAACCAGUUUUAGUGAGCUUGAGCCUUGCAUGGUACUUUGUGUGCUCAAAUCUUGUGUUCAAUGUUUUUUUUUUUUUUUUUUUUUUUUUUUUUUGGAGGCCUUGGUUCAUCCCUUCUUUGAUGAGUUACGGGACCCUAAUACCCGCCUGCCAAAUGGACGUUUCCUUCCCCCACUGUUUAAUUUCAAGGCUCAUGGUAAUAAUCAUUAUAGAAACUGUGAUUUUCGACAUUGAUUUUAUUGGAUGAGAUGUUUAAGCCUAGUUUGUAACUUUUGUUGGUGCUCUAUUCUCAUUCACUAGAACUCAAGGGAGUACCUGCAGAGAUGAUUGUCAAGCUGAUCCCAGACCAUGCAAGAAAACAGUGUGCCUUCCUUACGUCGUGAGUGUUCUUUACUUGAUGUUUUCCCUGCCCAGAUGAAAAACAAGGUCUGCUCUCCGUAAUGUGAUUGUCAUAUAUAAGAAGCAAUAUUAUUUAAAUCCUUCAUUUGUUCCCUUUAUUUGUUGUUUGUAGAGGUAGAAAGCCAAAUUAAGAAGGCUCUGCUUAUCAGAUGCUUUAAAUCUCACUGUGUUUACCUAUGUAGGAUUCCAAGUUAAAGUCCUUGUAAACCACAUGAGCACUGUUACCAGCAAAAUGUAAAUUUGCAAUGUUAACGGAUUUAAUGAAAAAUGUUUUCUUUGUGGAAAAAUGUUCAGAUGUGUUUCGUAUGAUUGUGUAUAUUUGAUCUAAUGUUCAGGUAUGUCAACAGUUGUUGCUUUAUAAAUUCAUAAACAUGAAAAUGGAUGGAAACAGUAAAGAAAGAUAUUAGGGUAGCCGCGGAUGAUGUUAGGUGAAAUUACAGUUAUUCCAUUACCUUAUUCAUGAAAAGAGAAUUUUAGGUUGACUUGCUGUUGUAAAGAUUGGUAAUGUUGGAGAAAUUGUAUGGUAAUUGUGAGGGAAAAUGAAUUUCUUGGGCAUAUACCCACUUUUUCUCCUCUUUAGAGAAAUUUGUUCAUCUUGUUGUGUUGUUAGCAAGGAUUGAAAUAUCGGUAUCGGUAUAUUUAUCGAAUAUAUCGAAGAUAUCCGGCAAAAAAUAUUGAAAAUUAGGGAAUACAUUUUUUUUUUCUGAAAUUUAUUAGAUUUACAUAUAAAUAUUACAAAAUUACAAACAUCAACUUUAUCUACAUCUAAAAAAAGACUCUAGAUGGUUGAAAAGACGCACUAUGGUCUCUCACUCCACAUCCAGAUAUCCCUUGAGGGGAAUAUUCAUUUUCCAGAAAUCACUUGAGAGUCGUGACCCUCAUUCUUCAUUGUGAUAAUGUGAUAUACCUCAGCGGAAUUACUUCUCUCAUUUUUGGAGGUGAUUUUCUUUUAUGCCCAAAAAUUUUACAGAUAUCUUUUUGAUAUGUAUCGGAGAUAUAUCGUAAAUAUCUUAAAUAUUGGAAAUAUUUGACGGAAUCGAUGAUAUAUCGGAGAUACGGUGGAAUAUAAGAUAUUUACAUCUCUAGAUAUAUAUAUCGAGAGAUAUAUCGGAUAUAUCACAGAGAUGUCAAUACGGUGGAAUACAAGUGUAAGCACCAACCACAUCCGUGAAUCAAACAUGUCAUACUGUCAUAGUGCAUGGAACUUAGCCUUUCGGGUUCAUGUAUCGUACAUGUGAGAUUUCAUAGUCAAAAGAUACUGAUUUCUUAGAGAUCAGCAUAAGAUUCAAGACAAAUCAUUUAUCAGAUAUCCAAGUGUAGUAUUUAGGUUUUUUUUUGACUGGAAGUGUAGUGUUUAGGUUAUUAUUUUUCUGCAACACAUGUUUUGAAAUGCUGGAAUUUGGUCUCUUAGUUGGUUAAAUUUUAUUUGUGACAAGGAUUUGGUAUGUUGGUUGGUAAAAUUAGAACAAAUGGAACCAUGGCAUGAAGGAAUCAAUAACAAAUUCACUAAAUUGGGACUUUGGGAAAGGAGGCUGUCUAAUGGGGCGGCCGGCUGGGGAUGACCAAAUGAAGCAGACUUACAAUAGUCGGCCAUAUUUUAUCACUUAGAGCAAAUCUUUGAUGAACUCAGCUUUGUAAAAUUGUAAUUGCUUUUGUAUGAUAGACCGCCCCACACAGAGUUGUAAACUAAAGUUGUUACCCCAUUUCUCAUUUUUGCUUUGGACCACCGAAUCAUUUGAAUCAUUUCAGGGAUAUAUAUUUCAGGUAGAAAGAAGAUAAGAAGCUGAAGAGAAUCCCAAACCACAAACAGUGACCUACACCAUUUUUGGUCGACGGAGGAGCUACCCGAGUGGACAUCACAGAUUCACAAGGACGGUAACUUAUCAGCCUAGUCACCGCCACUACAAUAUUGUCGUUGAAAGUUUAAAUUUCUCACUUAAUUAAAAAUGCGACAACUUUGAAUUGUCGCAGCCGGUUGUGCUUAAAGUGUUUUACCGAUUGUUAAAAGCGACGAAAUUAGAUGGUUUUUGUAUUUUCAAUAUACCAUGCAAUUGGUUCCUAUCAUAUGACAUAUUGCGAGACACGUAAGUGUGUUCCCACAAGUCAUAUACAAGACUUCAUAGUUGUUACAAUUUGUAAUUUACAAGGUUUUGUUUGCGUCACAUAUUUAAACUGCGAGGUGUUUGUUGCAUGUUCAAUAUGUGACGUAAUUGGUUCCUCACAUAUAUUGAUAUAUAUAGACAACAUGUAAUUCACCAAGAGACAAGCCGAUCCGCCACCUAGAUUGACAAUGCGACGCCACAAACACACAAGCUGAGACAAGAUCUCAUCAACAUAAGCCACCGACUAAGAACGGGGUUCCAAUUCCGGAUUCAGCCAAGCACAGACAGGGAAAAAGGAAUCCCGUUUACAAGCUUUUCUCGGUAGGGUAGGAAGUGACAAUGUAAUGAACGAAGCCAAUGCCUUUUGGGAUGUCUAAAUCCCCAGGCUAGCUAGCCUUAAGGGCGGGAUAUGCGUUCGUGAAAUCCAAUCAACGAAAUAAUUUGAUCUUUAGACCGCAUCCAGCACCUUCUUUGGACUUUUCCUCCUCAUUCCGCCUAAAAUCCACCCUUUUCAGCUGAUAGGUUCGACUAAAUACUCCUCCCGAUUUCUGUUUCCAAGCACCAAACUUGCCCAUCAAGAUAACAUCUCUUUCGACCACACCCAGUAGACACCAGUAAGGCCAGAAGCCUAUAUCGGCAUCGUGGUGCAGCCGGACAGGUGCGAAUGAGACUAGCGACAACGUUUAGAUUUACGCGCGCGGGAGCGCGUUCUAGAGAAUGACAUGCACUUUUGCUCAUAUGUAACCUACACUGUUUGUUUUGCUUAAUGAAUCCUUGAAUCUCUUAAUUGGGGCGUAUAGCCUAUAUUCAUUUUUCACACAUUCGGAUAAUCGCCAUAAUGUAAAGGGCAAAUCUAAGCUUCUUAGAUUUAGUAUUUGCCUUAUUUAGUGUAUUUAAUAUAUUGAUCGUUUGUUGAGAUUCGUAACUGUGAAUUUGUUUAGGUAUUGAAGUUUCAAUUAUUGUGAUUUCUUUCUGAAUGAAAUAAAAGAACUCGGGAACGUCAAUCUCUUUAGUAAUGAUUCAAUGCGUUUUCAAACUUUUGAUUUUCCACUACUACUUCUGUUAAUUAAUCUGUUAGAAAUAACUUAGGUGACCAGUUAUGGUCACUUAUGGGUGACAAACACCAAUAAGAGAUGGACAAAUAUCAACAAUAAUCAUAAAUAAACAUAUCAAAUACCUAAAACUUCCCUGUUAUGUCCUUAAAUUGCAAUCAAACAUUUUAAAAUGGACACGUGUCCCAUGUUUAUUGGUUGUGGUCACCUUAAGGUGACCAGCCCUUGUCACCGAAGUCGGGUUCAUUAAUCUAGCUUGCUAAUUUUUUUUUCUUCCAAGAGAUCAUGCAAUUCUAAUCGUUAAACAAUAACGUCACUGCAUCGAGUUAGAUAAUACUCAUAAUAGGUCAACAACAAUCGCUAAGUUAUUACUUUGUGAGAGUCAUACAAUUACUCAUCAGUAUGAGGUCUCUUCUACAAUGUGCUACAAAUUCCAUUUGCUGCAUUACCAAAUCACAUGUUAUACGUACGCUAUAUGAAUGAGUGAACUGGCUAGGAUCUGUUACAGCCUUACAGGUUAAUUAUGAAAUUCAUGCAUAUAUGGAAGAAACUAUUUUAUUAAUUAGAGUCCAUUUUGAAUAUUUGUGUCAGUAAUGAUUUCUUUUUACAAAAUAAUAAGAUUCCUUAUGGAAAGAUAAUAAAAAGGAUAAAGCUAAAAUUUAAUGACAUUAUUUUCAUUUCAAAGUAGAAGAACAGAAAACAAAGACGUUAUAUAUUGGUUUUGGGGUUAGCACUCAGAAGAAACCUGUAUCCCCUAUAAUGAACUAACACAUGUUUGGCAAUCCAGAAAUUAGCUCAAAAGAAAACAUACCAACUAGGUAUAAGUCCAUCGUUUGCAUCGACUAGUCAACUUUAUGAAAAGAUUAAUACAGCUUCAUAAUUAAUUUACACAGGGUGUGAACUUCAUGUCUUCUUAUAUAUGAAUCAAUUGCUAUAUUAUCUGUUACAUUUUACCCCAGUUCUUGUUGUUCUCAGCAGUCUUCCCAUUCUGAAUCUAGGCUAGCUUGUUUGAGUUUUCGAGUUGAACCAAACAACUUCCCUAAAUUUUCCAACUCUUGAAUAUGAGUACUACUAGUGAACAAUCGACGAGUUCAUAUUCUCCUUCCCGUACUACUACUUCUUCAAUGGAACAGGUAUGAGACUCAAAUUGUUAUUGUAUUUCUGUGUCUUUCAAUGGAACAAGUGAUGAACCAUUUUAUCAAUUUUUUCCUCGAUUAUGUUCUUCAUGAAAGUUUUCCGAUUUAGUCUUGUAGAAAAAAAAAAACAAAAUGGUACUUAUAGCCUUUAGCCUUUUAGAUGGUACUUAUAUAUGCGGGACAAUUCCAUGAACACUGAUUCCAUUUGAAUCCCUAAUUUUAACUUGAACACCUUCAUGUCAAUAUUUAUAGGAAAGAAAAAGAUCGAGGUCAUCAGUAAAUCUUAGUUUUGAUAAGUCUAUUCGUAGAGUUACAGAGGCAAUAGAUUAUUAAUGCAUGGAUGAAUGAUCCAUGCAUUAUAUGUGCAGUAUGGAGAGGUGAAUAUGAUCGAUGAUUAUAUAUUUGAAGAGUCGUAACCGUGGAUAAAGGAUGUUAAAAGAUAAAUGAUUACAUGUGAUCGGUGUAGUAAUAAAUCUUUCUCAUUUCUAAAUAACAUAGUAACGAUAGAGUGAUUACAAAAGAUCUAGUGAAACAUAAUACACAACGUAUAUUGUACGAAUUCGUAAAACAUCAUAACCUCUUCAGGGGCUUUUUUUUGUUUUUUGUUUUUGUUUUUUGUUUUAGGGAAAUGGAACAAAUUCAUUAGACUUAUAGCCAAUAACGAUCGUAAACGAUCAAUACAUGAGUAACCCUAGGACUACUCGCAUACAACAAUACAUUAUGAAUUAAAAAAACAACCUCAAAACUACAAUCCAAAAAGGUAGACAUUUAACCGACUAAAAAGCAAAUGAACCUCUACCAUACCCUAAAAGAACUUCCUCCUUCCCCAAUUAGAGGUCUCAGACCUCAAAUGGUGUACGGUGUACCUUUCAUCGAUAUGGGAGCUUGAAAGAGCCUCUAGUGCACAUACAUGGGUCUUUCCUAGUGUAAGCUCGUAACAAGCUCAACACGGAGCCUGGCAGAAAAAACUCAGAACAAGAGGGAAGGUGGGCUAAGGCCUAAGCCUACCCCAAUCCACAAUUUCCUAGAUUCCUCAUCUGGAACCCUAAUAGAAAUCUUCAGAGUUGCCCUCACGGGUUUCCACCAGAAUCCUACCGAACUCAUCUGAGCCUCAGUCUCUCGUGUUCAGGUGGGCGACCUCGAACCUCUGCUAUGAAGCAACCUAGAUAGUAGUCUUUGUCAAACAACGACAAGCGUGGCCCGUGGAUCAUCCUUGUACUGAUACUGUUCUAACUUAAUCACCUUUAAGGUGUUAGGUUUUAAUUACAAAAGACCUCGGUACAAUUAGAAAUGAUCCACCCACUUACAAGUUAUAUUUUUAUUUGUCAUUUUUCCAAUGUGAGAUCUCUCCUCUCUAACAUUUGCCCUCAUGGGCAACCUAACUUUUAGGUCUGCACGUGAAACUGAUUAACAAACUGAACCCGCCUAUGACAACCGAAAGAACCCCAAACUCCCCAAGACAAUCGAAAGAACCCCAAACUCGAAAGAACCAAACUAGGGUGAAUUCACUUUAAACUCGAAAGAACCAAACCAGGGCCAUGACCCUUGAAAGAACCAACCCGGGCUCAUUGGAGACGCAACUGGAGAGGGACCUGCUCUGAUAUUAUGUCAAACAGCGACAAACGUGGCCUAUGGAUUAUUCUUGUAUCGAUAUUGUCCAAACUUAACCACUUUUAAAGUGUUGGGUUUUAACCACAAAAGGUCUCGGUACAAUUAGGAAUGACCCACCCACUUAUUAUGAGUUAUAUUUUUUUUGUCACUUUUCUAAUGUGGGAUCUCUCCUCUCCAACAGUCUCUGCUUCCUCUGGCCUGGAUGACACUCAAAUCCUGACUAUGUCAACUUAAGAAUCAAGAUCUGAACCUAAUCUCCCUCCUCAUCAAUCAGCGCGGUUAAUCACCGGUGUGAUCACUCGAUCUCCACAACCCAGCCCCGUUGUUCUCCAAAGCAAUCCAUCAGUCUUUCAAACCUCUACUAACCCCGCAAGCCGCCGUCUCUAAGUCUUCGAACAAGAAGACUUCCUUAGCCACCGAGCCGCCGAUCCAAACCUCACCUCGAGAGCGCACCACUCUCCACCGAGUACCUCCCUAAAAUGAGGUACCAUCUGUGAAACACACCGGUCGGUGUUCACCACCGCCUAGCUCCAAAACCUAGGUUUUGGGAUCCUCGGCUCCGAAAGAGAUGGAGCGUUUAUUUUUUUUUUUCAGGGGCUUUAAGAUACCAUAUCAAGAGUUUAAUUCUUCAAUAUUGGUUAAUGUUGGGAGGGACUUUUUUUUAUAAAAAAUGUCAACCGCGACUUGUAGGACAUUUUCACACAUGAUCCCAAAAAUACCAUAGGCACCAUGAUCCAAACUAGCUAUUAUAAACAGAUGAGUAUUGUAUUGGUAAUAGAUUUUAGAUGUAGAGAGGAAGCUCUUUUCUCUUAAUAAUAAUUAAUAAAUAAAAAUUCAUAGCAAACCAGCAUUUGGUCUAUAUGCUAACUCUCUAACUUUUGCAAGAGAAUAGCUUUCACUAUUUUUGCUUAAAUUGUAUAAAUUUAUUCAUUUUUUUGUGUGUAAUCAAUCUUUUGUACUCAAACAACUAUAUAUAUAAAUUCAAAAGUAGCAAAAGUGGAGAGAACAACGAAGUGCAUUUUGAAAUUGACUAGUUAAUAAAAGUAGUAUCACCUAGUAUUAUAUAGCUAUUAUAUAUGACGUUUUUUCUCAAACAAUAUGACCUUCAUUUCCAUGGCUAAUUAACCAGCCAUGGAUGGAUCAAUGGAAAUUGCAGGUUUCAAAAGCAAUGGUGAAGGAGAGAGUGCAGCAAAAACCAGAAUGGAUUGAGGGAUUCUUAAGAGCAAAAUUCUCUGUUGCCUGUGCAACCCAUCCUUAUAUCGCGAACCCCUUAAAUAGGUACUGCAUAACCUGUAGAAUCCCAGGAUGCCAGUUCUGUAUCAGUCCUGGCAAUCGGCAUAGCGACCACGAAACGUUCCAAGUCUACAGGCAUUCCAACCGUGAUGCAGUUUUACUCAACGAAAUGCAAAAACACUUCGACUGUAGUGGUAUUCUUGUACGUACACAACUUUGAGAUAUCUGGUACGUUUCUAUUCUUUAGUUGAUAUUUUGAAUGAUGUAUUGAUAUUGUGACCGCCAUUGUUUCCAGCCCUACAAGCGUGACCGAUCGCUGGUCAUAGCACUGAAGCCUCUCCCGCAUUUAGGUGGAUUAAGCAAGUUUAUGUGCAAGACUUGUGGGAGACGAAUAAGUUACCCGUACUCAUACUGCUGCCUCUAUUGCAAGGUACGUACGUAAUGACGACUCAUGCAUCUGAUGAAUCCUAUCUGAGAUCAUCAGCUAAACUAGCAUUUGGUUGUUCUACUAACUUAACUGACGAACAAUUUGCGGAAUUUAUAUAUCUGAUUUAGAAGCUGCAUGCAGCCUAUAUGCAUUUUAAUUUCAGCUACAUAUAUGGAUUGGACUUAAUUUUAUGACUUAUAUAUUUAUAGGUGGAAGUAAUGGCGAGCAGAGUCUCAUCAUCAGCUCCUCCACUUCUUGGCGACCAGAAUAGUCCCAACAAUAGGGAAAACAAGAAGAGGGUUGCCGAACCGGACAGCUCACUUAACAGAAGAAAGGGAAAAGCUUUCCGAGCUCCAUUUUUCUGAAGUCGUACUUGCUACUUUGAGAGGAAUUACUUAACAUCAAUUUGGCUAGUCAUUCUAUGUUCAUGUUUAAUUGACUAUAAUUUGCUAUAUAUUUCUUGAAACACCAAGCUCAUAUUAAAAUUAUGGCCUGGAUUCAAGGCAAGUUUGUGGUUGAUUUUUCGACUUUUGGAUCGUCUGUUUCGGCUAAGAAUAAUACAUGAUAGACUACUCUAUUGCAGAUGCUAACGCUCUCUAUACUAAAAAGAGUAACUUGCCUCGUAGGCAUGGCAACUAUUGUUUAUCUGACACUAAAUGCUGAACAUGCAAGCAAUUAAUUGUGGUAGGCUAAGCCAAAUUUACCAUAUAUCUAUUUUUGGUCGAAUAUUCACAUAACUAAAUCCACUUUUUCACAGUAUUGUUCAUAAUUACUGUUCACGUGAACAAUGUUUUCUCAUCUCAUAAAGAAAAAAAUGUUUCAUAUCUUGCCAUCUCUGUUGAUUGCUGAAUUUCUGUACAUACCAUUCCUUUUGGCUUACUAACAAGUUUGCCAUGAGACUGAAUAUAAAGAGGCUGAUGCCAGAUUUUUUCUGCUCACUCUUAAAGGUUCCAGACUUGACUUUCUCACGAACUUCGCCGCCCUAAACGUUUCACUGAUUUCAACACCAAUCGACGAACUUCGCCGCCCUAAACGUUCAUAACACUGUUUAUAACAUUGUUUAUAAGAACAGUGUGCUGACUGUUUACCCCUCGCUCAGAUGCUGCAAGAUUCCACAUUUGCCCUAAGAGUUAGGGCUGGAUAUAAAAGGCUUCUUUUUUUUUGGUGCUCGUGUCACCUUUUCUUUUCUCUUCUAAUCUCUCUCGCUCUUUCUCACUCUCUUGAAACUUCCAUAAAGAUCGAGAAAGAGCUACUGUUCAGUUUUCUUUAUUCGUCUUACAUUCGAGUGUUCCAGAGGUUUUAGAAGAUGAGAGAGAGAUCAGGUAGAGAGGGAGAGAAAGACAGAGUCCGGCUAAAUGCAGAGAAGGAUAAAGAGAGAGUUGAUCCAGAAUUGAUCCCUUGAAUUCUGAACUCUUUCCAGUUUUUACCAAAUUUCUUGAUCGAUUGAGGUUCGGCACCUCACAAGAUUUGGUGGCGGCAUGGGUUUAGGGUUUGUCAUCAGUAAGUAGAAGGGAGGUGAUUCUGGGUUUCGAGUAAUACUCUUUUUAACUCGGGUCUGUUUGUUUGUUUUAUUAAGAUCGGUGAUGGGUAAUGUUUGAGGUUUGGUAUUUUGGCAGAUUUAAGUUAAUAUAUUUUGUUUGUAUUCUAAUGUCGCUAAAUCUUCUGGGUUUCUUCUCUUUUUACAAUUAUUGUUGUAGGUUUUGGAAGUAAGGCUUUAAAUUUGAAUGACGAAAAGGAUCAAAGUGAUAUUGCAAAAGCUCUUUCUGUGUCUCCAAACAAUCAUCAUCAGGUAUUUCGUUUGUAAUUUUCUUACCUUUUAUUCCCUCUGUAUGUAGCUUCAAUUUACCAAUGUCUGAUUCAAUUGCCUUGCUUUUCGUACAGAUUGUGGAUCUCAUACAAAAUGUGGAUGUGAAUCCGAUCGUUACAAACUACUGUGAUGUGGGAAGCGUGAACACGAUAGGAGGCGGCUCCGUUAAGCGUCAAAAAACAAGUGAGAUAAAGUUGGAAUCCACCAACGACAACCUUGAAUCCACAGACUAGAUUUUAGAAUACACGAGAAGUUCUAGAAUCCACCAGGAAUUUGAGAAAACUCAAAAGUUUUAUUGAUAAGAAAGAUUCCCCUAAUAGCAAGUACACCCAUUGAAAAAAAUUCAACCUGGGUUGGUUGACACCUAGGCAAUCCAACCCAAGAGAAAAAACUUAUCUUCCACCCACAAAUGGGAUAUCUCCCUAAUUCAACCCCGGCUACAUUUUGAGGGAGCAAUCUGACCCAAGUUAGAGGAGCAAUCCAGCCCAGGUUACUUGCGCCACCUCAGCUCGACCCACAACGUGGGUGAUGUUAGUCUGGGCUACUCUCCAUCGUCUCACGCCAUCCAUUGCCGCGUGAAGCACACUAGUCUUCUUUGAUGGGUAUGAAUGCCGCACGUGAAGACCACCUUCACCUUUGUGGAGGAAACAUGAAAGAGAGUUGGGCCCCCACUAACCUCUUUGACCGUUUAUUAUGCAAAUAUGCUUUAAAUUUUUUUGAUUGAGCAAAUAAUUUUUUAAAAUUCAAUAAGAUGUAGCAAUAGGGAAAAUCUGUAAAAAGAAAUUAAAAAAAAAGAAAUUCAAAUUGUAUGAAUUCUCUAUUAAUACUUGUCAUUAUUUUGCAUUCCACAAACCAAAAAAGAAGAAGAAUUCCUUAGUUAUAGCUAAUUAUUUAUAUCCCUAGCCAAUUUAGAAUGUGCAUGUGUUCUAUGUUUAUGAGUUUUUUAUUAGAAAAUUAAAAAUAAAAGUAGACUUGACUUGUUAAAUAUUAUGAAAUAAAAAAUAAUAAUUUCAAUGUGAUAUAAUUUAUAAAAAUUAUAUCUAUCUACAACUAAAAUCAUUAUUCACACUAAAAAAAUGUUUUUUAAAAUUUAAUAAACAGUCAUUGCCAUGUGGCAACAAUCUCACAUUUUUGACAAGUGGAAAUUACUGCCUAGUCACAGUGACCCAGAGUGACCCAGGUCACUGUGUUCAAUCUAAUCCAACGGGCGAACUUGCUCUAAUACAAAGCAUGAUGAAGUUUAUAUAGGCAUCCAUACCUAAGAAUUACAAUCAUAAUCUAAAUUGAAACCUAAGAAUCCAAAUUAAAAAGAAAACAAAUAACCCUAAAUAAAAGAAUCCUAAAAAGAAAAUAAAACUAGCCUAAAAAUACUAAAUCGUGAAUCGGACAGUUAAAACGACAUAUUUUGGCUUAAAUCUGAUAGGGCUCACUAAAGUGAGUCUUGUAGAUCUCGUCGUUUCCAUUCCGGAAAUGUAUCAUGCAUCCAAAACGGAACGUUCUGGCCAAAAAUUACUCCAAAUCAGAUUUAAGAGAUUUUGCGUGACAAACCUAGAAAGUCUAAAACAACAUCUUUUUGAAUAUUCCAGCGGCUAACAACCUCAUGAUACGAGAAUUACCGAUCUUUAAAUCAUUAUUUUUGAUUAUUCGCUGCUUCCUUAUUUUUAUUUUUUUUCUGUUUAAAUUUGACACAUUCUCGUCCUACAUCAUAUUGCAUGCCAGAAUGACAAGCUAUGCCAGAUAAGCUACAAGGCCUAGCACCAUUAUAAUCAUUUGGCUUCUCAAUAUCGGUGCAUUAUCUUGGCUAAUGAGAUUUGAUCUUUACAUUAUCAAGUUGUAUGUACUUCACAAGUUCACAAAUGCAAAUGUAGCAUGUGAUUUUGAAAUCCUCUUACAUUUAGCAAAUCUUAAAGAAUGUAAUCUAAGCUCUAAAGCAUUGUGCUCAAUAUAUAGGAACAAUAUUUGUUAGAUGAGAUACAAAAACUUUACAUAAUUUUCCUUUAGUUUGGUGAAUUACAAUGCACAUAUCUAAAUAAAUUAAAUAUUUUUUUCACAAGCUCAUACCAAGUUAUGUAAAAAUCAAUAUCUUGAUAAUAAUGAAUAACAUGCUGGAAGAUUCACAAAACUCGAAUACGCUGGUAACAAAUAUUUUGUAUCGCAAUCGUAAUCACACUUUGGAAUUGCUAUACUUUUUCCUUCAGACCCGAUCUAGGGAGAAGUAUAUAUAAAAGUAGUUAGUUUCUUCUAGAUCUAGAUACAAUAUAGCAGAAAUGCAUGAAUAUAGAAACAUAAAGCUAUACAUCUAAAGGCAAUCUGAAAACAUUAAGCUUCCCAAGAAGGCAUUCCAAAAAGUUUGUAUCGUGAAUGUCUAAAAAGAAUAUUCUUUAAGGACCUAUGCCAGCAGUCAGCAGUCACAACACAAUCUUUUAUGACCUGAAAGAGAAAAUGAGAAAUCCUAAGUAAUGGAUAUUAAUGAUAGCAUAUUUUUCAUUCAACAUGUGUAUGAUCAAUAAGGUUAAUUGAAAGAUAAUUGUAUAUUGAUAUACAAUAUUGAGUAUUUUGUGGUAAUCUUACAGUAUCUUUCACUCGAUAAUAAGAUUGUGAGGUAACAGACAUUGAUCCACCUUUUCCCUUAAAGAAUUCAAUCAUUUUACAAAUGCAGGGUUUUUCUUCUCCCGAAGCCUAAAAGAAAACAACCAACACAAAGAGCUGUCAAUUUUUGGAUAAGAAAACAUAACAAAAACAUUAGACAACAAGUUAUGCCAUUGCACGUAUGAGUUUUCUUUGCGAAAAGAAAACAAAUAUAAGAGAUGUCAUGUUGAUUCUAACAGGGUUUAUAUAUGAACAAUCAUCGAUGUAUAAUUUAUAAACUUGCGUCACUAUAAUAUGUUUCGUCACCAAACCUGGUUGCUAGGUAGGUUACUUUGGAGACGUACGUAUUUGUGUUCUUGAAGGAUCGCCAUAUCGUAGAAAGGUUUUUUGUCAAAGGUCUGGGAUGCAUGUCGUGCUUGUCCACCGCACACCAGAGGUGGAACCUAUCAAUAGAACCAUUGUUGAUCGAUCGAUAGAAGAAAACUGCUCAAAGUUUAUUAGCCAAAGAGUUCAGAAGAAGUUGAAUUAGAUGUCUAGAGAGCUAGAUUAAUUUGAGUCUGCUAGCUAGGUUUCGAAACUCUUAAAUAAAGGUGUGUUCUAGGGUUUGUAUGUAUAGAAGUUUAGUUUUGGUAGGAUCCAUGAUAAUAGGACUCAUUCGAAAUUUGAAAUUUAUGUUAUUUUUUUAGAAUGUUUUGAAAUUGUUAUGAUAAAGAGAAAACUUAUGACAUGAUAAUUGGUGAUUGGUGGUAAUUGGCUGUUAAAUGAAGGAGGAAAUCAAGUGGAAGAUUUGGCCAACUACGGUAGGGGAAAUUAUUAUUUGUACCCGGAACACCACCUGUUUUUUGUUCCCCUUUAAUCUUAUUGGUCCACGUGUUUUAUCUUUAUUUCUGAUUGGUGCUGGUCCCCACAUGAAUCUGAGUUAUAUGAUUGGUCGGGUACAACACCUGGUAGUGCCACGUGAUGUUCCAGGUACAGAAAAUAAUUACUCCUAUGGUAGAAUUAUUUUAAUUAAGAUAAUAAAUUGCGAAUCAUAUAACUCUCAAAAAUAUUGAGCACGCAUAAACAUAAUUGGUAGUGGCAGUAGUAUUUAAACAAAAUUGGUAUUUUUUUCUUUUGUAAACUUCUUACACUUCCACUACCAAACCCUAUUAUAUAUACACCUUCUUCAAGCUUUCUGAUUCUGCAAUCUGCAUGAACCCCAAACUCCAAAAACCCCAGGUCUUCAUCACCUUGUCCAACUUGCUCAUCACAUAGUAGUACUCAAACUGGCAUUCUCCACUUCCCACUAGUUCCUACUUCCCAAAACGUAGGGUGACAGUGACAAACCAGCCAGCCUUGUUGAGUUUCAGUGAAGUAAACUCUUUCUUUGUUAGUUAUAGCACCGAAAACUCUUAGUGUAUCCCUCACAAGCUUUCCAAAUUCUUACUAGUGUGCGUUAUAUUCUUUGGCUUUAUUCUUCUGUCAACCCAAGCCAGAUGGCAUAACCAUACCAAACACAGCAAGCACAACCACCCUCACAAGAUUUCUUACAUUUCACAGCCUCCUUCCUCUUCACCUGGACCUGCUGCUAGCUACAGUCCUCCUGAACUUGAAGAGCCUAAGAAUCCAUACAACUCCACACCUGGUGUUUUCGAUGUUCGAUUAUUUGGGGCUGUUGGGGAUGGCCAAACAGAUGACACUCAAGCCUUUAAGAUGGCUUGGGACACAGCAUGCCAAAGUGAAUCGCCAGCAAAGAUACUUGUUCCGAACCAUCUCACAUUCAUGAUUCAUUCCACAAUAUUUACCUGUCCCUGCCUUUCAGGCCUGGUGUUACAGUUAAUAAUGUACUAAUUUUCUUUCACUUUUUGGCCAGCUCAAAGUGAGAAAAGACUAAAUGUUAGUCCGUUGGGUACAUUUGGUAAUGUGAAUUAGGUUGAUGGGGUUAUAGUACCACCUGAUGGACCAGAGUCCUGGCCAAAAAACAACAGCAGGCGCCAAUGGCUCGUUUUUUAUCGAAUCAACGAAGAUGUCGCUGCAAGGGAGUGGUGUCAUAGAUGGGAGAGGAGACAAAUAGUGGCAACUUCCCUGCAAACUCCACAUGGUAUUUUGUUUAAGUUGUUCAUAUUUGGUCUUAAACAUUUGGUGAUCUAAGAAACUGCUUACAUUGAUCAAUUUUUCACAGGGGGUAAAUGGAACCACCUUGCCCGGACCAUGUGAUAGCCCAGUUGUAAGUUUCAAAUUUUUUGUUUGAAGUAACAUCAGCUAACUAUAUUAUUGAACUUUGAUUUAAUAUGAUAUUGUAUUUAUGCAGGCCAUUAGGUUUUUCAUGAGCUCUAACUUGACAGUACAAGGUCUUAGGAUUAAGAAUAGCCCCCAAUUGCACCAGUCUCUUGCUUGUUGGAGGGUAAUCCUAGAACUUUACUCAGCGAUGAAAUAGACCACUGCUGAUAUAUCAGUCCAUGGUAUUCAUCUUAGGUCUGUAAAGCAAUUAGAAAUCUAUAACUAGCUACAAAAGGAAUUAGGAAUCUGUCAGCUGGAUUGCAAUUCUAAUUGUAAUUGUGUGAUUAUAGAGGAGAGAUGUUUUAUGUGCUCCCUUUCAUAUAUAUAGAAUCUAUGUAUUUCUUCAUGUUCUUGUCGGAGAGAUGGGUUUUUGUAGCUUGUAUUUUAGAAAAAGUAUUCUAGCUCUGCUGUAACACAUGCAUGAUUUAUAGGGAAUGUUGAAUAACUAUUUUACUUGGGAAAGUUGAAUAAACUGCAGUAAGAAUAUGUGACAACAAUGUAUAUCAACGUACUAAUAUGGGAUGCAGUCCCAUAUAUGUGAAACCAGAUAAAGAAGUAUAUGGCCUGGACCUUGCAAUUAACCUACAAAGAAUUGGAUGAUGCGAAUUUAAGGCUUCGAUCGAGCUUUAAUAUAUUUACCAUGUUAGACAACCAUGCACUGUAAAAUCAAACUAGCUACAUAACGAACUUUUCAGAUAAAAGUAUCUAUUAUCUAGCCAUUUAUGGAUGCCAUUCAGAGAGACUAGGGUAAACGUACUACCUUUAGUUUCCUUUGCUUGCAGUCAGUGCACCUUAAAAUUAAGCAUAUAAUCGGUUAGCAAUUGAGACACCAUGCAGAGCAGGCAUCCACAUAUAGCUGUAGUUUUUUACCAGUCUCGAUCAUGUUUGUCAAGUUGAUGCAUGAGAGUGAGUGAAGUUAAGAGGGUAAAUUUGUCGACUAGAAGAGUCAGAAGAGCUAUUGGUUUUUUGGUGUUGAAGUGGAGAGGAAGGAGGGACAUUCUCUAUAGCUUUCUUGCACGCGCAGUCUCCGAUCGAGUAGAGUCUGAUAAAGUGAAAGCUUAGGUCGGUGCACGGCGGGAUAGAGUCCAAUGCUCACCCACCAAAUUUGCAUUUUUCGUCAAUCUUGCUGCAUUGCACCCGUGCAAAUUGACUGAGUUUAACUGCAAGGGCAGAUUUGUCAUUUUCCUGCUAGGGUAGACGCAGAAACGAGGGGAAAAUAGGAGAUGAAAGCGAGGGUUUUGAGCUGUGAGGCGAGGAAAAAGAGUAGACGCACAAACAAACGAGGAUCGAAACAGAGUUGAGGUGAGAGAAAAUAGACAACUCCUCGAUUCAUAGUCAUAGGGUUGAAAUCCAGGAACACACAACUGCAUAGGGGGGAAUUGAAUUCUGGAUUUCUGGUAUUACUUUUACGACCCUUGUACUUAUGUGUCGUUCAUUCAAUUUUGAAGAAGCACAUAUGGGUUCUGGGAUUUGUUCCAUUGUGGUCGUGCUUCUUAGUUGUUGAUGGGUUUGAGUUUGUUGUGGUCGAGUCUGGUAUUGCUUUUACGAGUCUUAAAUGACGUUCAUUCAGAUUGUGUAUAACUGUUGACAGCAAGAUUUAUCGUUUAUAUGUGUCUAUGCUUGAGAAAAGAGGUUGUUUUACAUCUUGUAUCGAAACUCAAGUAUACACUGAAUGUUGAAACUAUUGUCAAUAGUUGAGGGUUGAAACCCAGGAGUGUUUGGAUCGGGCAUCCGUCUUUUGCUUCAAUUAUAUCACUGGAUAUCUGGUAAUACUUGUACCACUCUUAUUUCUUUUGCCUGGAAACAUUGGCCCUUUUGUGUCUAUCAUCCAAUUCAUGUCAUUACGUAAUCGCUUUCGUCAUUGCAAUUGGGUUGGAUAAAUUUGUUGGCAUAUUUAUCUUGCGUGAAUUUUGAGGUCAAUUAGCUGUUUUCUGUACAUUUUAUGAUGUUUCAUUCAAUUUUGGAGAAAAAGAUUUGGAUUCUUGGUUUUGUUUUAUUUGGAAUAGGAAAUAUGGAAUUGUUUUUUGUUUGUUUGUUUAUGAUGGGUGUGAGUUUGUUGUAAUUGAUUGUCUAGAAUUUUAUUCCAACUGAAAUUGAUGGAGUGAUGUUAUGAUUUCCGAGCUGAUGAAGAUGUUUUCUUAUCAUUGCUUUCUCCAAAACAUCCUUUGUGAUAUUCGUAUAGAUAAAGCUAUUGAAUUUAGAGAAAGUAUAGAAACAGAGAAGAAUUUUAGUUUACAGGAAUUGUGUUGUGCUUACAAAAACCUUAUUUAUAUGGUUUCAGUCUAGGACAGAUCGAUGCAUCUUUAUGUGGAUGAUCAAAUCCAUCAAGGUGGUGGCUAUGCUCAUUUUAUUGACGUUGAUAGACUUGGAGGAAAAAGACUGGGAUUGCGAAGGAUUUCUCUGACUUUGGCAAUGAUACUUUCUGGACUAAAACUUUUUAGCAACAUUUCAAUACUGUGAGGUAAAUCCCUGGUUUCCAUACUAUUGUUUUGUAGGCAAUCAUUAUAACUUGUCAUUAGGAAAGGAGAUGUUGUUUAGUAGACAAUCUAGAAGUAUCUCGCUUGAUGAAAUCUAUUCCAUGCAUGCAAGCAUUGUGAAAACCUGCAUUGCUUGCCGAGUGCAAAAUUUCCUUAAGUCCAUACCUAAAGGACUUGUCUUGUCUAGUGGAAUUCAGAGGUGUAAAACAGAACAUAUGGGUCUUAAUGAUGUCUCUAGCAGGAGCCAUGGGGUCUUCGCGAUUUCUCUUUCCACACUCCUUGUGAGGAUGUUUACAGGGCUGUUGUUACUGGGUAGUGGAACCUCAUAGAUUGUUUCUAAUACUUCUUUAAGUAGCUUAAAAAGAGGUAGCUGAGAUUAUCAUAUCAAAAAUGGAGAUAUAAGCGUAUUUUAGCUGCUAAUUUGAUGACUAUGAGAUAUGGUACUGAUUUUUAUUUUUUUAUUAUUUCAAUUGUCUUGAUUAGGGAGCUGUGGUGUCUCAGAAUUGUUUGUCAUCUCUAUUAGACGAAGGUAUGCUAAUUUGCUCCCAAAUGCACUAUUUUCUUUAAUCUGAAUUUACAAAUGUCAUUACUGAUUCUUUUUUACUUCUUUGGUUUGUAUAUAACUUGUGCAGAGCUGAGAAUCUCCAUUCAGAGAUAGAGAAAGUCUUAUGUGUUCUCCCAUAUAGUUUUGUCUGGUAUGCAAUGGUGUCAUCCUCAUUGACCCCUACCGGCACCGGAAAUGCCCGCCGGAGCUAAACCCUCGAAACCCAUUCCCUACCUAUCAUUGUAGAUGAAGACUUCAACACAAACUUCUCAUGUUUUCACUCUGCAAUGCCCUCUCUCUCCUCCCCAUCUCUGACUCUCCCCAAACCUAACAACAAACACCUCCUCCCCAACAAAACCAAGCCUUCCUGCCUCGUCCAAUCCAUCCUCAGCCUCUGCUCCCAAGGCCGUCUCUCCCAAGCCGUCUCCUCCCUCGACCUUUUAUUCCGAAAAGGAAUCCGCCUCCCCACCAAGGCUCUCGCUUUGGUGGUCCAGCACUGCAGAGACACUCGCUCACUCCGAGACGGCAAAUGGGUUCACUUCUAUUUGCGCCUCACCGGGUUUAAACGCCCCCCAUUGCUUCUAGCUAACCAUUUGAUUGGGAUGUACUUCAAAUGCGGCGAUGAAGUUAAUGCACGCAAGGUGUUCGAUAAAAUGCUUGUGAGGAAUUUGUACUCGUGGAACAAUAUGCUCUCUGGGUAUGCCAAGAUGAGGAAUCUGAAGGAAGCCCGGAGCUUGUUUGAGAAAAUGACCGAGAGGGACGUUGUGUCCUGGAACACCAUGGUGAUUGGGUAUGCCCAGAGUGGGGAUUGCGAUGAGGCUUUGAGGUUUUAUAGAGAGUUGCGGCGAUCGGCGUUUGGGUUGAAUGAGUUUAGUUUUGCAGGGGUUUUGACUGUGUGUGUGAAGUUGAAGGAGUUGGGGGUUGUUAGGCAGGCUCAUGGGCAGGUUUUGGUUGCUGGGUUUUUGUCGAAUGUUGUGCUUUCGAGUUCCUUGGUGGAUGCUUAUGCCAAGUGCGGGGAGAUGGGAGAUGGCAGGAGGUUGUUUGAUGAGAUGGGUGUGAGGGAUGUUCUGGCUUGGACCACGCUGGUUUCAGGAUAUGCCAAAUGGGGUGAUAUGAGAUCAGCUGGUGAGUUGUUUGAUAUGAUGCCUGAGAAGAACCCGGUAUCAUGGACAUCUAUGAUUUCAGGGUAUGCUAGAAAUGGGUUGGGGCAUGAAGCGCUUGCAUUGUUUGCGAAGAUGAUGAUGUUUCAAGUCAGGCCGGAUCAGUUUACCUUUAGUAGUUGCCUUUGUGCUUGUGCUAGUAUAGCUUCCCUUAAGCAUGGUAAACAAAUUCACGCCUCUCUAGUACGAAGUCAUUUAAGACCCAACACGAUUGUUUUGAGUUCUCUUAUCGACAUGUAUUCCAAAUGCGGCAAUUUGGGGGCCGCAAGGCAGGUAUUCAAGCUCUUGGGUGAUAAGCAAGACACUGUGUUAUGGAACACAAUGAUGUCUGCCUUAGCACAGCACGGUCAUGGUAUAGAGACAUUGCAGAUGUUUGAAGACAUGGUCGGUUCAGGUGUAAAGCCGGUAACGACCACCUUUGUUGUUAUUCUCAAUGCUUGUAGUCAUUCUGGUCUAGUCCUGGAAGGGCGUAGGCUUUUCAAGUCCAUGACUGAUGAUUAUGGCAUUGUUCCUAAUGAGGAGCAUUAUGCUUGCUUAAUUGAUCUCUUGGGUCGAGCCGGAUGUUUUGAUGAGUUGAUGAACCAGCUCGAAAAUAUGCCAUGUAAAGCUGGUGAUCAAGUUUGGAAUGCAUUACUUGGUGUUUGUAGAAUCCAUGGAAACACAGAACUAGGAAGAAAAGUGGCCGAACACCUUCUUGAGCUGGAGCCUCAAUCUUCUGCUCCCUAUGUUUUGCUUUCGAGCAUAUAUGCUGAAGAAGGUAGAUGGGAGCUGGUAGAGAAGGUGAGGCGGCUUAUGGAUGAGAGACAUGUGAGGAAAGAGAGAGCCAUUAGUUGGUUAGAAGUUGGAAGUAGGUUGCAUGCUUUCACUGUAUCAGACCGGCUGCAUCCUUUAAAAGAGGAAAUAUACUCAGUUUUGAAACAGUUAGCUGACCAGAUGGAAGAAGAUGCCUCACUAACUAACCUCGAGAACUAGAAGAUUGAUGACUUGUUACUUCGCAGGGUGGUAAGGAGAGAAAGUGACAGUAUUUGUCUAUUCAAUCUUCAAAAUUUUUGUAACAUUAUAUUCUUAAGCUACAAUUUCAAAUUCUUUAGAUUUGAAUCUCCAGAAUGACAUACAUGUGACUGCCUCUCUCUUUCUCGGUCAGUGAGCUUUGCAGCAAAUCCACUUAAACUCCUUUUGUAACUUCUUGUCAAGAAAUUUGCAGCGGAGUUGCUCUCGACAACUUUUUCAAGUAAUCCAAGGUGGUGAGACAAUGGUUAGUACACCACAUUAUCAGGAAGUGAACCCAGGUACACAAUAUGGACCUUUCUGUCUUCAUCUAUGGCCUUGCACAAGAAGAUACUCAAAAGUAUAACAGUGGGGAAAAUAUAAGAAAAUAGGAUAGCUUCAUGCUUAGCCAUUGUUUUCAAUUGAUGCUCUAAAUUAUUGCUAGUGAAGACUGCUAAUACUGAGAUUCAUGAUGUAGUACCACGUCCAUCCAAAUUUGUUUCUGGCAAAAAAUCACAAAUGGUCAUUGACUUUUGACCCAUUAAUCACUUUACUCACUCACAUUUCAAAAAUGUCAUUUAACUCACUCAUUUAUGAUUAUGUCUCUCACUUAACUCAUUGCCGUUAAACAUACCGUUAGGAGCCGUUAACAUUGAGUAUAUUUGUCUAACCACAUAAAAUAUUUCUAAUUUAUUCUUAAAUUUAUUUCUGUUAUUAGAUCAUUUUUCAAUUUUGUCUUGAAAUUUCUAUGAAAAAGAGUAACUUUAAAAAAUCUGAAAUUAUUCUGAAAAAAUAUAUUAUUUGUAGUUCUUUUUUUUUUUCGUACAAAUUAUUUGUAGUUCUUUUAAUCGUAAUAAAAAAAAUUAACUAAUAAAUUAAUGCAUAUUUAACUUAUUUGAAUGUUAUUAAAUUAUUUUCAACUUUAAAAAAAAAUUCUGGAAUUUCUUUUUCUUUUUGAAAGAUUGGAAUUUGUAAUACAAAAAAAAUGUUUUAGAAUUAAAAUCUAAUGAGGAAACAACAUUGUUUAUUUUUUCUCAAAAUAAAAAAAUAAUUAAAAACUUAUUUUUUGGUGGUUAGACAAAUAUACCCUCGAUGUUAACGAUAACUAACGGUUGGUUUAACGGCAGUGAGUUAAGUGAGCGAGAUAAUCAAAAGUGAGCGAGUUAAGUGACAUUUUUGAAAUGUGAGUGAGUAAAGUGAUUAAUGGGUCAAAAGUCAGUGACCAUUUGUGAUAUUUUGCCUUUGUUUCCUUUAACUGAUGAUUCUUCUUUGGCAUUGCAUUUAACUUAAUAAUGAUUUUGUUUCCAAAUAACAAUUCAAAAUCAUAUUUCCAAUAUUCCAUCUAUCUAUGUCAGAAGGUCCAGAUUAGCUUGAUAAUUUCUAAGAAUGCUGCAAAUCCCUGGAUUUAGGUCUGAUGCAAUUAAUAUAUAUGGAAGUAUUUGCAUAGAGCUAUAUAUAGACCAACAAUCACCUAAAAGAAGGUUAUAUUUUCAAACCCUUUUUUUUUUUUUUUUUUNUUACAAAUUCUGCUUUAUUUGGUGAUUUUCUUCUUGGCCAAAUUAAAAGCCUUGAUUUCAUAUCAUAUUUGCCUUGCUAAUUCUAAAUGUAGCUGUGAAAUAACUACAACAUAAAAUAUAGUCAACUACUCGUAUUCAUAUCAUUUGGUUGAUAUUUGACCCUUUGCUGGUGUUUGGUCCAAAGGCUUAAUUUUAUUAGCAGAUUUUCCCUUGCUGAAUCUAUCUUUAGCUGCCAAACUAAAUUGUAUGUAUCUCAUACUACAGUGGUAUGUAUUAUCUUUUCAAUUUCAGGAAGUACCUCUUCUUUCAGAUGUAUAAUCUAGCUUGACUUCAAGAUUUGAUAUAUUUGAGUUUAUUCUGCGAGUUGGUUAAUCCUUAGAUUAAACCUUUCAAGUUCUAUAAGCUUUCCGGAGCUUUUAUAGAAAGAUGAACUAGAAAUUCAAUUAAGGUUGGUCUUGAAGGAUCAACUCUUCUCGAGAGAGUGUUUGCGACCACACACACACAUGCCAGUUCUCACUCCUUUUUUAUGCAAAAGCUCUGAUAUGGCUUAGGUUUAGAUUCUCUUUUAUUCAUCGAUGGAGGCGUGAACUAUGAGGAAUGAGCUUCAGCUCUAAUACCAGCUAGAAUGCGCACCUAACCAGUGCUGAAACAAUCAAGAAGUUCUUUUUAUUCUUCAAGAGUUUCAUUGGUAAUUCUAUUAUUUUAUUUUUACAAUCUUAUAAAUGUUUUUUUUUUAAUCAAGUGGUUCUUGAUAGUAUCCAAUAAUAGAGAUGUUCUGUAAUAAGUCAUACUCAAAUAUUUCUGAAUUUUAAUUUUUUCUUGUUCUUCUAGUAUUUCUUCUGUAGUUUCUUGGUAAAUAGUAAGCAAUUGUGCUCUAGUAAGGAGAAAAAAUGUAAAUGAUGAAAAUUUAACUGCUCUAGUUUCUUGGUUGUUCUACUGACUUAACUGAACAAUCUGCGGAAUUUAUAUAUCUGAUUUAGAAGCUGGAUGCAGCCUAUAUGUAUACAUGGAUUGGACUUAAUUUUUUAUUUACUUAUAUCUGUAAUAUAAUUUAUAGGUCACAGCAAUGGUGAGCAACCCUAGUGGUGUCUCAUCAUCAGCUCCUCCACUUCUUGGCGACCAGAAUAGUCCCAACAAUAGGGAUGAAAAGAAGAAGAGGGUUGCCAAACCGGAAAGCUCAUUUAACAGAAGAAAGGGAAAAGCUUUCCGAGCGCCAUUUUUCUGAAGGCGUACUUGCUACUUUGAGAGGAAUUAAGGAGUGGGAAGCAACAACAUCAAUUUGGCUUGUCAUUCUAUGUUCAUGUUUAAUGACUAUAUUUGCUAUUUAUAUUUAUUUCUUGAACUUAGAUGUUCAUGUUAAGAUUAUGGCCUGGAUUCAUGGGCAAGUUUGUGGUGAUUUUUGGACUUUUGGGGAUUGACUGUUUCGGUUAAGAAUAAUACAUACGAUAGACGACUCUUUUUUUGGCCUAAUAGACGACUCUAUUGCAGAUGCUAAAGCUCUCUAUACAUAGAAGAGUAAUUUGCCUCGUAGGCAUCUACUAAAUGCCGAACACGCAAUUGUGGUAAGCUAAUUAAAGCCAAGUACUUCAAUUAAGGCUUAUAGAGCUACCACCAAAGAGCAUAUAUAAUUCAAUACAUUAACCCACGUUUGUUACAUGAGAUAGAAGGGGACUGGACUAUCUUACAUAGUACAAUAUCAGAAAUCUCACGUUUGGCAACACACGGGACUUUUUAAUGUGCAUACAUAAUCCUAAAUUCUCCCUCAGACCUUCUACGAUAGCCCUCCCAAAAACCAUGGGAUUGUGUAAGCCCUUCUUCUCUCUCAGUGAAUUUCUCAUCUUCUGAGCGUGUCGUUGCUCAAUGGCCUCCUCAACCUUGUGCGCCACCAAUCAUGAGGUUGACAUCGUCACUCUCAGCUCCGACCUCUCCAAGCCGGUUUCGCAUCAAUGAUUGACGUGCCCGUAACCGGGCGUGCGACAAUUAAGAACUUUUUUUGACAAUCGUAGUAUAAGACAAAUAAGGUUCGAUCAAUUCGGGGACUAAAGGUGCUUCUGUAACAAUGAUCCUUGGAAAAAAUCAGUAGCUAACAAUAUAUACAAGUAUUCAUUUACAAAUUUACAUAUGGUACAAGGCAAACAGGGGGGGGGGGGGUUUUGAGGUUUGUUCUAAUGUUCCUACUAAAAGAUAAAGAGAAAAGCUAAACUAAUAUAUACAAGUGAUCGAUUUAUUCAACACAUCAGCUAGAGAGAAACUCAAAUUCUGACCACACAUCAAAGUUCACGUUUCAACCUUAGCAAUCCGAUAACAUGCCAAUUCAGAGAACUAGAAACAAUCUCAAAAUACAAGUCUACGAGGUCAUGCAUUUUAUAGUUCUACUUACUUAUCCCUAGAACAGAACGUCUAGAACUAGGACAUCUCAUGCAAGGCUGCUAUCAAUACUACGAGUAUCUGUCUACACUUAACAUGAGUCCUUAAGAUCUAUAGAACGAGAUUGAACACAAUUAUAUUAUGAACGUCACAACAGGGAAUUGCAUAGUAUACGUUUUCAGCCAUUUUGACAUAGCUUCCAUCACUAGAGAUCCACAUUUACCUACGAGGCUUAGUAUAAAUCAUGACAAUAGUUAGCAUGCAUUCUAACAUAGUAAUCAAACAAAAACGCACACUUUCUAACCUAUGAAUUGACAAGAUCAGAUUGCUAAAAUAUCAUGAACAAAACUUCAACAUACUUUACUAGAAUUCUGAAUUUACUAACAACAUAACAAUCGAAACAACAUCCAAAUCCAAUAUUUAAAGACUGAAAACAUGUUUCUGAAAAUUGUAAAGGAAAACUAAACAACAACAGAGGUAGGGUUACACUUUUAUCAGUAUUCAAGAAGCUUGUAGACCUCUAGAAAGUGCUCCAGCUUCAAAGCUUUGAGGUUCCAAAGUUGCCGCUCUUGUGGAACGUCUGACAAGGCCUUGGUAAGGGAGGAAGAAACUCAGCAAAGGAGAGGGAGAGGCUACUCAACAGAGCUAUGUGUUUUCCUGACUUUUGUGUGAAUGAAUGAUGGGCUGAGAAGUACCCAAGGCUGUCUUUAUAUAGAGGAAAUCUUGGUGGAACUUCUCUUCAAAAAUGAUGUGGGACUAAAAGCACAUGUUUAACUUUUCUUUUUUAUGUGCACAUGUUUGACUUUUCUCUUUCCUUUGUUGGGCUGCUUGGGCCUUCUCUUCCAGCCUUGGACUACUUGAGCCUUCCUUUAGGCUUUCUGCAUUUUUGUACUACUUGGGCAUUCUUUUGUCAAUUAAGUUUUUUGUGCCUUUCUUUUUCCUUCCUUAGACUACAAGAAGGUUUCUUUGUCUUUUUCUGUAUUUUUCUCUUAUUUCCAUCAUUUAGCCUUUUUUUCUUGAUUUAUGCUCUCAUGUCCUUUACAAUCACAAAACAUGUCAGAAAUGGUAUUAUUAUGAGAAUAUCAUAGCUAAAUAAGAUAGGAAACACAUUAUAAACAUAACACUUUGUGCUCAUAUCAAUGAUAUACGAGACUUCCCCAAAAUUUCUAGAAUUGUUUGUUAUCACUGCGGCAGGACCCCCACCACACCUAUUACCCAACAACUUUCACCAGCAAAUUCGAACACUAGAUCAACUUCCAUACCUCAUGAAUCUCAAAACAUCGCUGGAGCCGCCGGAAUUUGCAGAGAAACUGCUUUACGUCGACCAUUGAGAGAGGAAUCAAAUUCGACCGGUGCGACGGUCAUAGGGGGACCUGACGCCGGAGAUCUGGUCGCUCACCAUCUACAGCUCUGUGCGUCUGUGUGUUGAUGGUUUGGCUUAUUUUUCAAUGUUAUAUUGUUACCUACACCCAAACGUGGGUCAAGCUUAAUUAAAAAUAAGCUGGGUUUAUGGGUUUAAAAAUAAUCUUGUGUUAGAGAGUCCAUCUAAACAAACAUGCAGCAAGUGAUUAAACAAACCUAGACAAAGGUAGGAGGAGUAUUCCCCUUGGAAGGGGUAGCUUUUCCUACCUCACCUGCAAGGGUGAAUUCCGGCUGUCCAGCUUAAUUUCCACUUUCUUAGCAUGUUUUCCUUUCUUCAUUGGCGAUGCUUUGGUCUUCUUUGAUGGUAAUUUCUUCAAUGGGGAUUUGAUCACCACUAAACUCUUGUUUUCCUUAAUUCUGCCAAGGCUGAUAGAGCUACGUACCUUAAAUUUGAAAGAGCAUAAUUCCACACAUUAAACAAACCUAGACAGAGGUACGAAUAUCCCCAUUGGAAGGGGUAGCUUUUCCUACCUCACCUGCAAAAGUGAACUCCGGUUACUGACGGUUUUAUGUUUAGUCUUUGACCGUAAAUGAAGUAAGGACUACUAACUGAUCAUUAUAUAUUGUAUUUCAAUGUGAUGUAAAAUGCAGCUAUGUUGCAUAUGGAACUAGACUUAUAUUUAUAAGUCUCGAAGAAGCUUUUGAAAAAAAUAAUGGAACACUGAAUAUGAAUUACAUAUACCUAUGUGUAUUAAUCGAAUUAAUCUUAUGUGUAAUUUGGACAUAUGUUAGAGUUUAUAUUUGAAUUCAAAAGUAGAGUGAUUAAGACAAGAUAAAGAUCAAGACAAAGGAAGUUGUUGACAGUUUCUUGAUGGAAGAAACUGUCAUAUAACUAACUGUAGCAGUUGGAAAACUGUACAGCCCUAUAAAGCCUAUCUAGAUCUCUGCUAGAACACUAAUAAUUAUUCAUAAAAACUAUCCCAUCAAUAGAGAGAAAUCUGAGUGGAUCUAAGAGAAGAUCAAGAUGGAUGUAAACAGAACAAGUUAGUACUAUAAUUAAACUUAGUUACAUUUUUUCUAUAUUUAACAUAGUUUAGUAUAUACACAAGUGUUUAUGCAGUUUGUGAAAACUUACAUGAGACGUUUCCUCCUCCUUGGCCACUAAUUAGAAUUAGCUUGGGGUUAUCACUACUAGAAAAAAGUUCUUAGGUGACGAAAAAACCUAAGAGCUUCUGUCGUCAUGUAAACACUAAAAUGACGAAAAUUUCGUCACCUAAGGAUCGUCAUCUAAGGGCGGUGGUUAGAGCACUUAGGUGACGAAAAUAUGAAUUUCGUCAUCUUAGUAAUGACUAAGAUGAUGAAAUUUCGCUAAGAUACUCAGAUGACGAAUAUUAUUUCGUCGCCAAGAUACUUAGAUGAUGAAUAUUAUUUCUUAGAUGACAAAUAUUAUUUCGUCGCCAAGAUACUUAGCUGACGAAUAUUAUUUCGUCGCCAAGAUACUUAGCUGACAAAAAUUAUUUCGUCUCCACAUUACUUAGCUGACAAAAAUCUUUUCUUCGCCAAGUUACUUAAAUGACGAAAAUUAUUUCAUUGCCACAUUACUUAGCUGACGAAAAUUAUUUCGUCGCAAAUUUGGUUACGUGAUGUAGUAUGACCAGCUAAGGUGACGAAAUCAGUCAUUACGAAAACACUAUCACUAGGAAAACGUUUAGGGUUUAGGGUUUGCUGACAAUUCUUUCAUUGGGCUAAGGCCACGAAAGUUGAACUUUCGUCACCUUAGUGCUAUUUAUUUUUAUUAAAUUUAAUCAUUAAUAAUUAUUAAAAUCACAUUUAAUAUUAACAAAAAUAAAUUAAAAAAAAGUCUCAAUAUUUCAAAAACCCACUAUUGACCAAAGCAGCACUUGGGCAGUAGCAAAAAUAUAUAUAUAUAUAUAUAUAUAUNNNNNNNNNNNNNNNNNNNNUAUAUAUAUAUAAUCAAGUUCAUAUACAAACUCAUCAAGAGUAGUACUUGAUCAAUAUACUUGUUCAUACAAAAUAUAUACUAGAAAAUGAACUAGUGACUAUGAAGGGUUGUCAAUUGAAUCAAUGCCUCCAUCAUCAUGAUCAUCAUCAUUGGGCUGCUCCUGGGGUGGGACUGCCGGCUGGCAUACGCCAAAUUUGGUGAAGAGAAACUGCUCACAUUGUUGAAGACGUAUCAUGAUUUGUAUGUUCUCUUCUUUGGCUUUUCAGGCUUCCUCAUUGGCUUUCCGGGCUUCCUCCUUGGCCUUUCGAGCUUUCUCCACAGCAAUAUCAACAAGUGCAGCUCGUUGGGAACGUGAAGUACAGCUCCUAUCGGGCCCUUGACUUAAACCAUAACUGCCUACUAGUCUCAUGCCCCAGAUCUCGUUCAUGUUUCUAUGUCCAAAUGCUUUUUCAAACACGAUUGCCUGAGUUUGUUGGUCAAAAUGAAGAUCAAUAUCUUCUUCCGGAAUGCCAGGGUAUUUCUUCCUCACAUUGUCACGGAUCUCAUCAACCUUCUCCAUCAGUUUAGCCUAACAAAAGAAGUAUAUGUUUUACAAAAACAAUUAAUAUGGAGAAUAGAGUUUUGAGGGCAGUAAUAUCUAUAUUGCUGAAAGUCAUUAAUCAUAGGCUCUCAUCUAGCAUUAUUAACCCAUCUAUAUAUAUUGAUUACCACCAAGACUUGGCUUCUCUCCUUGGAGAAGUUUUACUCAGAUCUGCUUGAAUUUCAAUACUAAGCUGCCACAUCAUCUAAAACUAAUCCAAAGGCCAGCAAUGAAAAACUAUUUUACACCAACCACACCGAAUCAACUACCACUUCUUCUGCAAAAGCCAUGACUACCCAGAAAGAAACAACUUCUUCUUUUACAAAAUGGUCUUAUUCGGGAUGUGUAUCCGGUUAAGGGCACCCUCUUCUGGCAAUUACGCCGGCGACAAUUGGACUCGCAAUGGUCUUCUGCAAACGCAAGAUAAGAUAAAGCUCUCUCUAUUAUGUUCUCUCCUCACUCACCAUCAACGUUGCCGCACAAUUUCACUUCAUUCAAUUUCGUAUAAAUAUGCGAGAUUUAGAAGCUUGAGAAUUAGAUCUAUCGGAUUUUCUCGCAUCUGAUCUCGUAAAUUUCGUGGAUUGGCUCCGACAUCAGCAUUUGACUUGUGAAUUGGAAGAGUUUAGAUAAUUGUUCAACAUUGAAGCUCCGAUUCAGUCUGCAAAGUUUAUGACAAGACUUGAAAUGGGAUUUUGAUGACUUGAAUUGAACUGGAGAUAGGCUUGAAAGUUCAUUUAUGUCACGUACAGAAGGCAAGGAGGUUGAGAGAGGAUAAAGUGAGAGAGGAUAAAGAGGAGAGAUUGAUCUGAUAUGGGUAGCUUCAGCUUUGUUUAUUCGAAAACUUUCACUGCUGGCCCUUGGAUUGGUUUUAGAUGACGUGGCAGCUUGGUAUUGAAAUCCAAGUAGAUCUGAGCAAGACUUCUCCAAGCAGAGAAGCCAAGUCCUUACCACCACAUGUUAAUCAACUUGCAUAUAUCAAGGUAUCAAGAAACUUUGCCUGAGAUGCACUAUGCAUGACAUUAACUGCCACAAUUUUUUUUUGAAAAGUCACUAGUAUAUGUUCCUUAUUGUGGUUUUUGCUUAUGGCAUGUAUUAUUAUAUAUUACAAGUUACUCAUGCAGUAGGCAGGAAGUAAUGCAAGUUAACUAGUUAAUAUCAUGCAAAAAAAAAAAAACUAAUUCACAAUAUUGUUGGCUUCCAGAGACCAAGAGGUAAUGCAAAGGCAGGAUGUAAACCACUUACUUCAUUUUCAGCUGCUUUCAGGUUGUGAGUUGAGUCAUACGCCUGUGAGUAACGUUUAAUAAAAUAGAGGUGUUCACCCUUGUCCUUCAAUUCGUUUGCAUUGUAGAUGAAAGGCCUCGCCCCGGUGUGGUGGUGCAAUGUCUUCUUGUCCCGGUUACUCUUGUUUGCAGUCGAUCUUCUCUGUAAUUUCAUCAUAUUAACACUUUGGUUAUUAACAUCAAACUUAAUCAUUAAAAACCACAAACACAAAACUGACCAAAUGAACAGUAGUAAUACAAAACCCAGAUAUAUACUUGUACCCAGAGAAACUGUUGUAGUAAUGCAAGUAAUAUAUAGACUUGUACCUAGAGAAACUGCUGUAGUAAUCAGUGGAAUAUAUAUACUUGUAUCUAGAGAAAAUGCAAGUAAUAUACUUGUACCUUAAUCUACCUUGUACAGCAAAGAAAAAACUAAAGCCUUCUUUAUUUUCUGCUGGAUACAAAGUUAACCAAUUGAACUGAUCAUUCGAAGGAGCCAGAGAAUGGGGAGUAACAAUUGCAGCUGAUCAAUGGAUUGCCUUGUCAUAAGUUAAAAAAAAAUCUACCAACUUUUUGUGUUACACAAAAUGUCUCAAACUUUAAACAGAUCAAUACUUUUGGUAGUCUAAAAUCCAGUAUACUUCUUCUCUACUCACAAGUUUGUGUUUGCUAAGAGAAUGAUGGGGCUAUUUCCGCAUUGCUUAAAAAAACCAAAUUCUAAACCACUUUGGUAAUUCAACAUGGAAGGAUUCAAUAAGGGAUUCCAAGAUCUCAAGUCUAUGGGAAAGAGGCGAAAUGGAUGACGUUGAUAUGAAAUAACAAGCACAAUAUAUGGAUGCAAUAGAGGUUCAAUAACCUACACAGAUUUCAAAACAAGGGUAUCUUCAGCAUUGGCCUGAGGACUAAUUAAUCAAAAACUCAAGAAACUAUAGCCUCCUACAAUUUGUUUCAGAAAUAUGUCAUUCAGCAUUAGAAAAAGACAUGCAAAAGCCACAAAGUAUCUUCAAUUGAGUCCUUGGCAUCAAUUUUAUUUUUUUACCGAUUUCAAAUAUGGCAAAGAAAAAAAAGAACCAAGAAACUGGUUUUCCAAAAAUCAACAUGGUCAGAAACAAGGAAGAACAACAAAGGCAAAACAACCUCGGCACCAACUAGCAAUAACCAGCUACACAUACAUGUAUAAGUACACAAAAUGAACACUGAAUACAAUAAGGGAGAAACUAAUCCUUUUGAAUAAACCAACAAACUUUUGAUUAAAUCAACAAACUUUCAGUAGCAACAGUUAGUUAUUAAAUGAAAGUAAUAUACCGUGAAUCCAUCAGACUUGAAGUGUUUGAGGAGCCAGUUCCACUCACACUACCAGAAGAAAGACUUUAGCCGACGAAAAUAAAAAAACCAGGCUGACGAAUUAUUUUUUCGUCGGCUAAUUAAAAAUUUUCGUCGUCUGAAUAAUUUUUUUCGUCGGCUAUAGUCUGUGAACUUUAGCCGACGAAAUUUUUAAAAUUUUAUCCGACGAAAAAUAUAAUUUCGUCGGCUAAAGUGCCUUAAUUUCGUCGGCUAAAGUGUCUUAUAUUUGCAGAUCUGGACAACAACUCAUCUGGGAAAAAAAACUAAUACGUAGAACCUUCAAACGUAAAAAAGUCGUGAAAUAAGAUAUGACCAGAAUGGUGAAAUACGUUUACGGUUGAAAAAUCACGGUAUUCCGAUAAAGUCUCGGUGCCGAUAGUUGCGGUCAAUGCAAUUGACUCUUAUUAUUCACUAUGCUGCAGAUUUGGUUUUUGGUGUCCGAUUGACUAUUGUGAUACCUUUCCGGAAGCGUAACGGUCCUACGAGUCAAACUCAGUGUUAAUGACAUGACGUAUGGGCCUUUUUGGUCAUCGGAGUCCGUUUAGGGCUUCAAAAUGCAGUUUUUUUAUUUCCGAUUAGAGUUGACCGUUUUGUUCGAGCCCUUAACGUUGUCGAAUCCAGUUGAAUUUUUUACCAUAAACAUCUUUCAUCAUAAUGAUCAUAUCUGACGGUCGAAUUUUGGUUUGUAAAUUUUAGUCAUCGGAAUCACGUGUCUACUAUUUACCGUUAUUAUUCCCUAUGGGGAGCCCUAUCGUCGGAAGGUAAAUGUCUCAAAAUUUUUAUAUGGGCAGUUGCGUCUCUUCUACGUGAGAGUUUUUUGUGUGGAAGGUUUGACCAAACCACGUAAUAUAGAGGGAGAUAUGAGCGUUUUCGUGUGAUAAGUGACGAUGGAUUAGGGUUGACCGUUUCAAUCGAGUCCUUAAUGUUGUCGGAUCCAGUUGAAAUUUUUACCAUAGACAUCUUUCGUCAUAAUGAUCAUAUCUGACGGUUGAAUUUUGGUUUGUGAAUUUAGUCAUCGGAAUCACAACGUGUCUACUAAUGUUGUAUAACUUGUUUAGUAGGUUAUACAACUUUGUGAACCAACUCUAUAUAGGAAGCAAAAUUAUCAAAAAUCUUGUGAAAUAAGAUGUGUUCAGAAUGGUGAAAUACGGCUAUGGUUCAAAAAUCACGUAAAUUAGGUAAAGUCUCGGUGCCGAUAGUAGCGGUCAACCCUAUUUACUGUUAUUAUUCCCUAUGGGGAGCCCUAUCGUCGGAAGGUAAAUGUCUCAAAAUUUGUAUAUAGGCGGUUGCGUCUCAUCUAUGUGAAAGUUUUUCGUGUGGAAUGUUUGACCAAACUACGUAAUAUAGAGGGAGAUAUGAGCGUUUUCGUGAAUUUAUAGACUUUAGCCAACGAGAUAUUAAAAAAGUCGUCGGCUAAGGUCAAAAAUUUUUGAGCAGUAAACCAAAUUUGGAGGAAAAUUUUCAAAGGACUUUAGCCGACGAAAAUAUAUGAAAAGUCGUCGGCUAAAGUCGAAAAAUUUUCAAAAUUUUCAACCAAAAUUUUUUGACGGUCAACCAAAAUUUUCAAAAUUUUCAAAAGAGUUUAGCCGACGAAAAUAAAGAAUUUCGUCAGCGAAAGUUCUUUAUAUAGGAGUUUUACCGAAGGUGGAUGGUAAGAAGUCUGUUUCGCCUGCCAGAUUUUCUUCUCGGCCUACCUCUGCCGUUAAGCCACCGGAUACCGCCACACUUGUCCCAAAAGCUUCGCCGUCGUCUCUACUUCAUUGCUGGAUAGGUGGUGCAUCGAGUGGCGCCGCCGUGAGGGAUAAAUCGAGCUCCAAAACUCGGCCAGUUCGGAUUCGGUGUCGAUCGAAUUUCUCCUUCCUCAGGUCACCAUUUGGUGAGUUCUAUAUAUGGAUAAGUUGAGUUUGAUUAGUACUACAUUCCCCUAGAAUUUGGUAGCUCGAUUCGGUAUGUGUGAGGAGAAUUGAAGAUUUGAAGUUUUUAGGGUUUAAAAUUAGGGAUUUUUAUAUUUUGAUUCAAUUGACCUGUUUAGGCUUAGAAUUGGGCUUCGACUUCUUCUAGAAAGUUGUUCGAAAUAUUGAGAGGAAGAUUCUGUCAAAUUUUAGUGGUGAUUGGAGGUGGCCGAAAGUUUCUGCAGUUUUUUUUUUCAAAAACCAGCAACUUUAGCCGACGAAAUUUGGUAAGUAUUUUUAAAUAGCCGACGAUAUUUAAAGGUUUAUUCGUCGGCUAUAGUAUUUUUAAAUUUUUUAUAAGGUUUAGCUGACGAAACAGACUAUAUUUCGUCGGCUAUAGUCUGGGAAAAAAAUUUUUAUUACAGACUUUAGCCGACGAAUAUCUUAAUUGUUUCGUCGUCUAAAGUCUGGGAAAAAAACCGACGACAUGUUUUUCGUCAGCUAAACUGUGGGACUAUAGUCGACAAAAUUUUUUUUUUUCGUCGGCUAAAGUCACCACAGACGACCUUUUCCUGACGAAAUCUUAGCUGACGAUGGCUUGUCGGCUAAGAUCUUAGCCGACGAAUUAAGCUAACAGGCUAACGAAACUUUUUCGUCAGCUAAAGUGUUUGUCCUGGUAGUGUCAUCCAGCCGAUGUUCAAACUCUUCUUGGAUCUUCCUCGGGUUUGCUUCCUAAUUGUAUUUAUAGUGCACUUCCAAUUUUUGUACACAUUUUUAGCCUUGUCGUCCAACCACUUCCACAUGAGCUUAUCUUCAACAUCAAACUCAUAAAAGAUCUGUUAAAACAUGAACAACAUUAUUUAUCUCAUAAUUCUACAACUAAUUAAGCAUUGAGUGAACACAUGAACAACAGAAAAAGUCCUUACAAAGAGUUUAGUGGGCAGCUUCUUCUGCUCAUCAUCAGUAGUGUCACCCCAAGUUGGAGCCACCAUGGAAAUUUCGUCCCGUAUAAUGUGGCCGACGUCGUGUGUCAACAUGCUGCUUAACUCUUUACUCUUCAGACCGUGGCAGAAAUCGUCCCAAGUUACUUUAAUCUUGAAUCCAGUCCUCUUGACUAUCUCCUCCGCUUUUAAGCCUUUUACCACCCCUGUCUUGGUAUUAGGGGGAGGUGCUGCGAAAAAAAAAACAGUUUCUGUCAAAACCAAAUGCAAAAGAAACAAACGAUCAAUAAGUGAAGAGGCCAGUGCAAUAUGAAAACAUGCUUGGUAGGUCAAGAUGUAGUUCAAGCAACAAAAAAAGAUGGAUACACUGCAAUAUGUGAAGCACCAGUUAUGAAUUUAUGAACUACUUUGAUGCAUAUUCUAAUCUCUUUUUCCACAUUUUAUAAAUCGAUCAAUAUACCAAAGUUAAAUAUCCUAUAGCUUAGACACUCUCUCUUAAGCCUAUGUCUAAGUAAGUCCACAAUGUGCAUAACAUAGCAAAAAGUAAAAUAGAAUAAGAGAAGAACCAAGCAAUACCAUAUAAGAUGACACCACAUGCAGCGGAUAACAAAUGACAGUAGCCUUAUCCAAAAUUUAUUCCAAAAUAUGCAUGUUAAAAUCCAUGAAAUUGCAUUAAGGAUGCAUAAAAUGCAGUUUUGUUACAAAACCACUAGGGAACCUAGUUUUAUUUCCACUGAUUCUCAUUCACCAAUCACACAAGUCGAGGUCUCCUAGGGAUAACAGAAUUGAGCAGCUACCACUUCUAAAUGAAUUUGCCGAUAACCAACACCAUCUCAAUGUAUAAAAAUAUUAAUGCAUACAAGAACCAACGCCAUGAUCUACAAUAUCAUAGCUAUCCCCCCGAUCAAAGCAUAUUAAUUUCUAUAGCUCAAGAUCUAACACUAGCUAAAAGCUCACUGACUCCUACACAAGCAAAUCAAAUUCCUUCCGAAAGAUACACAUAAUCCAUGAACACCAUCCUAAUAAAACGCAAUUUGGUGUUAUCAUCAAAAACAUGACUUUAUGAUAAUAAUAACAACAAUACUCAGAAACCAAUAUCCAAACCAAUAUCCAAAAUUUACUCAUUCACUACACAAAACCUAGAAACCAAUAUCCAAAAUUUACUACACCCAACUAGAAAAUCAAAAGGUUAAGAGGCAGAUGAGUACGGGUGAGGAAAAUUACCUCCUUUAGGAUGCGGUUUGCUCCGAACGCUGAUGAUACACCCCGAACCUAGUAAUUAUUUUUAUAUUAUGAUUUCCGGUUUAGUGGUAGCUAAUCAAUUCGGAAAUUUAGUAUGUUAUCCUUCAUAGAGGUGGUCUAGUCGAGUUCAUUGAUUUUUUUAGUUACCCGAAUAAGAGUUCGUAAAUGAAGGGUAGUUAAAUAAUAAUAGUACCCAUUUUUGGGCUUAGGCAUUUAAGGGAGACUUACCUUUUGGUUAAGGUAAAAAAAUUAGAAAAUACACAUCCCUCAUCCUUUCUCUCUCCCCGAGCCCGACCCUAACCCCGAACCGUCCGGCUUCUCCCCGACCGAUCGCCACCGUCCAACCACGCCUGGCCACCACACGGGUCGCGUCUAGCAGCUGGGACACCGCUCGUCCAGCCUGGGGUGGUGACCGGUCCUUACUUGCUGGCAUUAAGGCGCGGUGACGCCGCUGCUGCCGCGUGGUUGCUCUUGCCAGAACUCCCUUCUCCAGCCAUCAAUUCAAGGUAUCUUUGGGGGGUUUUGUAGCUCUUUGAUUAGUCUUUGAACCACCCAAAAGAGGUAGAACGAUUUGGAGUAUAGAGCAAAUCGGAGCUCUUGAGUUCUUGAGUUUAUAAUGAGUUUUCCGGCCAAAUCUUUGAGCUCUAGAGUUUGUGUUAGUCAUGAUUGUUGUUAUGCUUAAUGAGAGGAAGAGUUUGAUGUAUGCCUUGUUAAUUUUGGUUGAAGUUGAUCUAGUGGUGGUGGUUGACCGCCAUUGCCGGCGGUUGACCGCCACAGCCGGUGACUGCUGCCGGUUUUGGUGGUGGUUUUGAGUAAUUUUGGAUGAGUUCUAGAAGGGAUAAAUGUUGUUGUAUUGUAUGGUGAUUUUUGGUGAAGAGUGUUUGGAAUUUGGGAUAGUUUUGAUGGCUCCAUGGGUGAGAGAUGAGUGGUAUUGAAGUAUUGGAAAUUUUGGUGAGUGUUAGUAGGAAUUUAGGAAAGUUUAAGUCGAUUUUGGUGAAAGAGUAGAGGUGAGCCUCAUCCUUGGGAAUUUCCAUAUUUUUCAUUAUGUGUUAGAACGUUGAGGAGAAAUUGGAGAUGAUUAGUAAAAAUAAGGUUGGAGUUCUUCUUAGGUUUGGAUGAGUAUAGAGUAAGUGAGGAGGACUUUAUAUUUAUUAAAUUUGAUAUUCUUGUAUUUUUGUCUCGGACCUUAAAUCUCGUUUUGUACAGGACGAGAGGAGACACCACGUGAGGAGGGCUCUGACCGACGUCAGGCAUAGCCGUCUAUAUUGUGAGUGGACACUUUGUUUUUAAUGAAAUAUGCAUGCAUGAUUGGAGAUUUGAAAUAUGUGGGUUAUCUGGCUUAAUUAUUAUUUUGCGCAUUUUAACGUGUGGGACACGUUAUUAAAUUUAAUUUAUUUAUUUCUUAUGCUAUAUUUGUGGAUUAUAUGAUGUCAAUGCUACUAUGUCGUUCCACCUCUCGAGGUGAUGUGACUCUCACGUUUCAAGUGGGGUCACGUAAGCCCUUUCCACCCUAGUGGUGAUGUGAUGUUGCCGGCGGCAUCACGCAAGCCCUGUGCUCUAUCCAUCCACUCGACGUGAAGGUACAGGGAGUAUGGGAGUACUAUGCCUAGGAGGCAACCGAGUCUGGGAGACUCACUUAUAUGGCCAUAUAGGAUAUUCUAUUUGAGUUGUUAAUUUGACUAGCGGGGCUAGUCCAUUAUUUUGAAAGUUUCUUGAAUGAGAAAUCUAUUUAUUUUUUUUAUUGUUUUAUGACUAGCGGGGCUAGUGUGAAUUUUUGUUGAGUUUAUAAUAUUUUCAUGCAUGAAAAUUCUUGAAUUCUGUAAAAAUGGAAAAGCAUAUAAAAAUUUGAUUUAGUAUCUUUAUGCUCUUGGAUACUUAUUAAUUAGUUUAUUUUUCGUACACUCACGCUAACGUUUUUAAAUGCCUGGGCCCUUUGUUUUCAAAUGCCUUUCCCUGGGCCCUUUGUUUUCAAAUGCCCAGAUUGCAGAGCUCCUGUUCGGUUUCACUAGGAGUUGAGGCAUAGUUUUCCGCUGCACCUUGUUGACCGUAGGUUACCUGUUAACCUAUGUGUAGUAUUAUAUUUCUUUCUUGUAGUGCUCUGAUGACCAUCGGGAGAUGUAAAAUAAGUUGGAGUUAUUUUUAAGGGUUAUAACCCAAGUAGGGAGUUUAACUUUGGUUGGUGUUUGUGUUUAAAUAUCGUAGUUGAAUAUUGGGUUUGAAUUGGUUAAGUGCUGUUAUGACUUGGAUUUUGUUGUGGGGAGCGAAGGACUCCAGGAGAUGUGGUUGUUUGAUAUAGUUGAAGUGUUCUUGGUUCUUUUCUCGCAGGUUGGGUUGUCCAUUUUUAGGGGGGAUUAUGCCGAAAUUUCGGUAUAAUCUCUUUUAAGAGUGGAUCCCGCAAGACUUGCCUGUUUUUCUAUGUGUUUUCAGGGCGGGUCUUGUCAGCUGAUCUUAGCAGAUGACUGGCCAGUCCGAUGAUCAUCUGUGGAAGGUUCGUCGACAUCGGGCAGUGGUGGAGGGAGAGGAGGUGCCAAACUUGACGGAGGCGCCACAGGCCGCGAGGGGACCUCUGUGGGGCGUCAAUAUUGCUGGGCCACCUCCUGCAUCAGUCGUUGAGACGGUUCCGCCUAUCACUUCCACUUCCCACUAGUCGGCGGCAUAGUGGAUGGAUGUGGCGCAAGGGAGGAGACGGCUUGGAAUCGGAGGAGGAGACGGUGAUGUGGAGGAGGAGAUGGCUUGGAAAGUUGGAAUUUAGGGAUGUGGAGGAGGAGGAUACGAUCGAUUUAGGGAUUUCAGAGUUAAGACUCGUUGCCCGGCCUCUAUCUGGGUUUACAAACCAAACUCAGCCCACGAAUGAAGCUGUUUCAUCAGUUAAGUGAAACCAAAAAUUUGGCCCAAAAAAUUGGCAAAAUUUUUGACCCGCCAAAUAUUAAGUAGUUAGGUGACGAAUACAUGAACUUUCGUCAUCUCAGUGAACCAAAAAUAUUUCUACCAUUUUCAAAUUUUGGGACUUAAUUGACGAAAACCUAAAAAGAAAAGGUUUUCAUAUAAGUUUUGGAAAUAAUGAGGUAUCUCCUAAAAAGAAAUAGUUUUGAUACAAGGAUUUUUCUUUUUUUCCUAAAAAAUACAUUUGACAAUACAAUACAAAUGUAAUUAAAGAAAUUAUAAAUUAAAGAGUGAAAUAUAUAGAACAGAUGACGAUAGAGAUUGAAGAGUAGAUCGAUUGAAACAAGUCCAAACCCGGUUUGUUCUAGAUUUGGCAUUCGGUGUCCGAUUGACUAUUAUGAUACCUUUCUGGAAGCGGAAUGGCCCAACAAACCAAACUCGUCGAUAUGCCACGACGUAUGGGCUUUUUAGGCCAUCCGAGUCCGUUUAGGCUUUCAAAAUGCGGAUUUACUUAUUUUCAGGCAUUAUUUUUAAUAGUUUGUUUUCGAUUUGGUUUUCUUUUAAUCCAUGGGCUUUUAGGCUUUGAUGUUAGUUGCCCUACGGUUUAUUUGCUCCUAUAUAACUAGCAUUUAUCAGUUGUAGUCGUCAGCUUUCAUAUUAAUAAAAAAUCUUGAGUUUAUCUUAAUUCUCUGGUGGAUUCCAGAAUUCCUCUCGUGGAUUCGAGAGAACUAGACUUGUGAAUUCAAGUCACUGUUGGUGGAUUCUAACGUUUAUAUUUCCGCUACAUCAAAGAGAAAUUUAAAGUAUUACACACUCAAUUUCUGUCAUAUUAAAAAAUACCACUCAUUAAAAGAAAUUAACAUAAGUCAGACGUCAUUGACAUCAUAAUCCUCAUCCUCCGUAUCAUCGUCCUCUUCGUCUUCGUCUUCCUCUUCAUCCUCCUCAUAAUGCGGCUCUUCAUCUUCGUUCUCAUCUUCAUCCUCCUCAUUGUCAACAUGUGGGACUUGAGAUCCAUAAAUUGUAAUGAACGCAUUCCCAUGUACGUAGUGGGGGUCAUUGUUGAUGCGAAUAGUCUGUGUAUCUGGAAUAUAAUUGCUUAACUCUUCUUGAUAUGGUUCUGGCGCCUCUUCUUCAUCACAUGCUCCUUCUGCAUCCCCUUCAAGCGUAGAUGCACUCCAUAUGUUUCGGUGAGACAUCACAUUUACCACCUCGGUAAACUUGGGUCAGUGUUAAACCAUUUACACUUGAACAACACAACUAGCAUACCAGCUCCAUAUAAUAAUUCAACAACGGAGAGUAUGAUCCCGUAGUAGCAAAUUUCAUCCCCCUCUACCAUGAUCCCAUAGUUUUGAGUGACCCGCUCUUCAUCUCGGUAGAACGUCACAAACUUAACACCGUUAACAAAACACCCCCCAUGUACACUGUGAUGUUGCGGCUUACAUGCCAAAUUGUGUAACUCCUGUGAGUAAUCAGGGUUGCUCUCUCAUAGGAGUUCUUCCAUCUAAAAAAGAAAUAAUGAAUAACUCAUAAGUGAUGGGACUAUGUAAACAAUAUCGCCAAUAAAUAAUAAAAUGGAGAUUGAACUUACCCAAUUAAGAAAGUAAUCAGGAAAAGUUCUCUUGUGCAUCUCUUCAGCUCUAUAUGGUUGUCUUGCUAUGAUUUUUUCCAAAUGUUUCUUUUUGUAGUAGUCAAUCUCAGAGCAGUGGUCCAGCACGCACCAAUGAGCUUCACGGAGCUCAGCUUUUGUUAACUUGUUCGAAUUUGGUAAGUUACCAAAUGAACGUACAACUUUUGAAACAACUGAAAGAUUGAAGACAUUUGUGGAUGACUCUGCCUCGGUUGUGUUACUAUGACAUAAGUCGUAGUAAGUUACACACUCAUUUAAGAGGUAUGUGUUCGCUAUUGACCCUUCUAGUUUUCCUCUGUUGCCGACAUAUUUUUUGUACUCCCCAAGUUGUCUAAAAUUUAAGAUGUUAUUACUGUACAAACAAUAAAAUGUAAAUGUAAACUGGUGAUAAAAGUGUGCAAUGUACCUUUCUUAUGAGAACAUACAGGUAUAGUGUACUGGACCAGUACCAUCGCUUGUUCUGGUAGGUGGAUCAUGAGGUGAAUCAUGAUGUCGAAAAAAGAAGGCGGGAAAAUCCGCUCCAACUUGCACAUGAUGUAGACAAUGUCCUCUUUUAAUCUAAGAACAUUUGACUUCUCUAGCUCUCUAGCACAUAACUUCUGAAAGAAUUUAGACACCGCUACUAACGGCUCUACCACAUCAGGACACAAAUAUGGUCGAAUUACCACUGGAAAAAAAACGUUGUAGCAUGAUAUGACAGUCAUGAGUCUUUAAUCCAAAUAGCUUAUUCUCCCCCACUUUUACACAUCGAGAUAUAUUUCCUGCAUAACCAUGAGGAUACUUAAUAGCUUCAAACCAUUUGAAAACUUUCUUCUCAUUAGCCGGAUUAAUCCUGUAAUGUGCAAGAGGCAUUGACCCCGACGUUGUUAGCCACAAGUGAGGGCGUAUGUUCAUGAGUUGAAGAUCUUUGCGCGCCUUCACAAUGUCCUUAGUCUUAUCUUUAAACCCGAAAACUGUUCCCACAAUGCUGUUACAAACAUUCUUCUCUAUAUGCAUGACAUCAAGGCAGUGUCUUAUUCUCAAUUUCUUCCAGUAAGGCAAUUCAAAAAAUAUACUCUUGUGCGUCCAGUUCUCCAAUCUAGAAGGACGUUUUGGAUUCCGAGCUAACACGUCAGGAUCACUGCUAAGACGUCCGAAAUCAAAAGAGUUUAACAUGUCCAAAAUCCACUCACCAGACCGCUCUUAGAGUUUUAAAGCAAACUCUUGCUUCCCAUCGAAUGAAGCCACAUCAAAUCGCCAUGGAUGAUCUUCCGGAAGCCCUGUACGACUCCCCAAGUAACACACCUUUCCAGCAUGCCAACUAGCAUUUAGGUCUCCUAAGCAAAUUGGACAAGCCAUGUAACCUUUAGUGGUUUGAGACGACAACAUCUCAUAUCCAGGAAAAUCACUAAUGGUCCAAACCACUGUUGCUUUCAUCCUGAAUGAAGUUUGACUAUACCAGUCAAAAGUAGGGACUCUAUUUUCCCAUAAUUCUUUUAACUCGUCAAUCAAUGGUCUCAUGUACACAUCAAGACAUUAACAAAGUCAGCAUACUAAAUUCCUUCUUCAUACACAUCCAUGGAGGUAGGUUGUACACCACAACAAUAACAGGCCAAAUACUAUAAGACAAAUUCAUGUUUCAGGUAGGAUUAAACCCGUCCAAGUCUUACAUUUCGAAUGUCUUCUGCAAAAUCAGGAAAUGAUCUGUCAAAUGAUUUCCAAACCUCCCCAUCUGCGGAUUGUCUGAGAGUGUCAUCAUUUUUUCUCGUUACCCCGUGCCAUCUCAUCUUUUCUGAAGUGUGUGAAGACAUGUACAUACGCUUCAACCUAGGAAUCAAUGGGAAAUAAUGAAGCACCUUCUUUGGAAUCCUUUUCUUCUUAGAUGAAGAAGAUGAUGACUUCCACCUCAACGCUUUGCACACUGGACAGUAAUCUAGGUCUUUGUUGAUGACUCCAUAAAACAAAACGUAGUUAUUCUUGCAUGCGUCAUUCUCAUAACCGAGGCCAAGAUCUUUCAACAUACUCUGUACCUUAUCAAAGCUGUGGGGAAAGUUGUUUCCUGGAGGAAGCAAUUUCUUGAUGUUCACCAAGUUACGGUUAAAUGACACAUUCGACCAAUUGCUGUCAACUUUGGUUAUAAUCUGUUCAAUGAUGGCACCCAAGACAGUUACAUUACACCCAGGGUACAAUGGGGUCUGUGCUUUAUCAAGCAGCCUAUUAUACUUAUCGUAAUCAUCAUUGUCAACAUUUGAAAAAGCAUAGUCUGCAUCAGUGGUCUCGUAAACAACCUCUUCCUCAUGUCUUGCAGCAAAUGAAGAAAAAGCAUCAUGUAUAAUGUCCAUAGAAGGAUCCACAUAAGGGUCGAAACUACUGCUGGAUGAGCCAGCAUGCUAAAAGUGUCCCGCUCGGAUUUCUUCCAAGGUAGGUUCAUUAUCUAAUGUUUCACCAUGUAGACUCCAUGUAAUACGUCUUGUAUUCAGGUGUUCGUGGAUUUCAUAAAUCGUCUUCCACUUAGUAUUAUGACAUUCAACACACGGACACCUGUGUAGAGUUCUGCCAUCAGCAUGUUUAAGUACAAAUAACAAAAAAUCUAGAAUUCUUUGUUGGUAUUCAGGGUUCCCCCAGUCGUACUGCAUCCAUCUCUUGUCCAUGUCCUGUCAUAUAUAUAAACAACAAAUAAGCAAUAGUAGUUCAAAAAACACAACAACAAAAACAUGUAUUUGAUUGCUAAGUUAUGUUUCUAAGUUAUAAACAUAACAAAAUUAUGUUCUCCUAAAAUGAUUCUUGAAUUGUCCCAUUCAGGAGAACACGAUUUUGUUUCUAAGUUUAUAAUUCUUGUCUUUUCGAUUUCGAUGUGGGAAAAUUUCGGUAGCAUCUUCCUAUAGUCCCUCUAGUGUAUAAAUAACUAUACCUAGUAUGCACUCGAGGAACAGUAACGAGAGACAGUGUCGAAACAUAUACCCACAACCGAAAACGAAAAGACAAGAACAACAAACUACAUAACAAAAUUAUGUUCUCCUAAACUGUCCAAAAAUGGGACAAUUCAAGAAUCAUUUUGUCAAACACAGUUGUGACAAGAUUGUGACAAGAUGAUUCUCAAACGGGAUUUCUAAAGUUCAAAUUUAGGUGAAUGAAAGAAUAUAAUCUUAUAUUCUUAUAUUUGAUUAUCACAAAAUAAACACAACAUAUAUAAUCAUUUGAAUGCACAAAAAAUUUUCACAAAACCAAACAAUUAAGUAUAUUUACAUAUAUCCCUAACAUAAUUAAAUAAUUUUCUCAAAACCUAAUAAUAGUAAAGCAUAUAUAUAAUCAACAAAUUAAACUAAUUAACUCUAAUAUUCACAAAUUAAAAUAACUAACUUUAAAAAUCAACAAUUAAGAAUCAACAUAUAUAUAUAUAUAUAUAUAUAUAUAUAUAUAUAUCAAUCCACAUUAAUCAUCACCCAACAAUAUUAACAACACGCUUGUGACCGGAAUCUUCGCCAGAAAACUCAUUGGAAAACAUGAAAAAAUAUGGUGGAGAAAGAGAGAGAAAGAGAUUAUACCAAACUAUAAAUCAAUGCAUAGGUAGACAAGCAAAGGUUUCAGAGACUGGCCUGAAUUUGAAAGGCUUCACACCGGGUAUUGAAAAUCGAAGCAAAUUUUGAGAGAGAGAAUUGAGUGUUUUGAAAUGAGAGAUGCAGAUCUAGAAACGCAGUAGGGUGUUAUAAAAGCAAGUUCAGUAAGGUGACGAAAUAAAUACUUUCAUCACCAGAGUAACCUGUUACAUGACGAAACAUAUUUUCGUCACCUAAGAGAGAACACUUUAGUGACGAAAAAAUGUUUCGUCACCUACCCCAUCACUUACAUGACGAAUUAAAUUUUCGUCACCUAAGUGCUACAAACUUUGGUGACGAAAAUUUAAUUCAUCACGUACACCAUCACUUAAAUGAUGAAACAUAUUUUCGUCACCUAAGUGCUAAAAGCUUUGGUGACGAAAAUAUUUUUCGUCACCUAUCUUGUCACUUACAUGACGAAAUAUAUUUUCGUCACCUAAGAGAGAAACCCUUUUGUGUCGAAAAUAUUUUUCGUCACCUUCCCUAUAACUUACAUGACAAAAGUUAUUUUCGUCACCUAAGUGAGAUCUAAGGUGACAAAAUGAGUGACGAAAUAACCUUACCUGACUUAGAUGACGAAAACUUGUACUGAGGUGACGAAACGGGUUUCAUCACUAAAGUGUUCUCUUAGGUGAUGAAUUAUAAAUAUUUCGUCACCUUAGAACCUUUUUCUGGUAGUAUAUACUUCAAUCAGCGUUGGCGAGAUUCAAAUUUAGAUAUGAUAGUUUCACACAUAGGCUCUUAACAACUCGACUACCUAUGGUAGUUACUGUUUACUUAUUCAUAAUUGUGAUGAUUACUAAAGAUAUAAGUGUCAAAUAAUUGAAAUAUAUAAAAACAAUAACAUUUAUAUUUAUACUAUAUACUAAAACUCAGUUCCCUUAGGAACAAGAACGUACCAUUUGUCAUUCUUUCCGUUUUUAUUACAACCCUGCCACUCGCUUUAAUAUAUGUAAUUUACAUUUUUGUCCAUAUUUUUCAUUUUUUUAAAACUUUAUCAUUUAGGGAUCAAAAUUACCUUUUUAUCUAUCUUUUUGGUUUUUACAUUUGAUCUUUUUUCAUGUUUUGGCCCCAAACAAAGCUUGGGUACACCGCCUAGUUGAAGCUAAUGAAGCUUUUACGACUCUAUAUGAGUAGGAGAUCGAUAAACAUAUACUAGAGAGAAAUUAAGAACUCUUUAUCAAACGAACUACAAUCACACAAUGAAGGAAAUAUAUCUCCAGUCAAGUGAGCUAUCAACAUCUAACAAAAUGAAAUAUACACUACUACACAUGCUAUAUAAGUAUACAAGAGACUUGGAGAAUGACAUCAGAAAUCAUUCGACAUUGAUAAGUUUUUCUGGGCGAAAUAGGCUUGGUAUGAGCUAAGGCUAGUUAAGUAUACAGGUUUGAAUAUUUCGAUCUCUUCGAAAUGGAAAAUGUCCAAACUCCAAAGUCUAAAGCAACAAAGAGAAUGAGGCCGGGCACUGGCGUUUAGUUGUGUGUGUGUGUGUUUAUUUAUUUAUUUUCCUUUUUUUUUGAAACAAACCUCGCAAAUGCGAGCUAGAAGAUUUAUUAAGAAUAAAUAAAAUUACAUGCACAAGAACAGGACAAAUCCUGCUCCAUCACGAAAUAAAGUUCUUAAAUUAUCGAAAACGGAAAUUGGGAAGACCCAGUUUAUCUCUAAUGCAAAAUUGACUAUUAAAAGUUGGAGAUGAAUCAAACCAAGUAAAACCUGUACUUGAAGCACCAAAAUUGUCCAAAGCAUCAGCCACCUGGUUUCCUUCUCGAAAAAUAUAGGAACAACAGAAUUGCAUCAUUGAAAUCCGAUGCACACAAUUCUUCGAUGAGGGCACUAGCGUUAGAUCGUGCCUAUCUUUUUAACAAAAUUAAAAUACUUAUCACUGCUGCACAAACUAAACUUGGGACCAAAGAAAAUGACAAUUAUGGGAAGAUCAUGGGGGGGGGGGGGGCAGCUCUUCAUAUGGAUUGCCCACCCACUUCCAGUUCUCGUUAUUCCGUCACCUUUUUAUUCCCUGAACCAACAAAAAGAAUAAUGGAACCAAAAUAAAAGGCAGCCAAUUCCUCUAUGGGUAUUGGUCGGUUUCCACCCCCAUAAAAACCUUUAAAAAAUUGUCAGCAAAGUUAAAAGUUUGAAGCACCUCCACUACCAAACCCUAUUAUAUAUACACCCUCCUCAAGCUUUCUGAUUCUGCAUGAACCCCAAACCCCAAAAACCCCUAGUCUUCACCUUGUCCAACUUGCUCAAAUAGUACAACUCAAACUGGCAUUCUUCACUUCCCACUAGUUCCUACUUCCCAAAACGUAGGGUGACAGUGACAAACCAGCCAGCCUUGUUGAGUUUCAGUGAAGUAAACUCUUUCUUUGUUAGAUAUAGCACUCAAAACUCUUUGUUCCCAACAUUGACCAGAACUUAGUGAACCCUUCACCAUGAAGAAGCUUUCCAAAUUGUCACUAGUGUGCGUUAUAUUCUUUGGCUUUUUGCUUCUGUCAACCCAAGCCAGAUGGCAUAACCAUACCAAACACAGCAAACACAACCACCCUCACAAGAUUUCUUACAUUUCACAGCCUCCUUCCUCUUCACCUGGACCUGCUGCUAGCUACAGUCCUCCUCCUGAAGAGCCUAAGAAUCCAUACAACUCCACACCUGGUGUUUUCGAUGUUCGAUUAUAUGGGGCUGUGGGGGAUGGCCAAACAGAUGACACUCAAGCCUUUAAAAUGGCUUGGGACACAGCCUGCCAAAGUGAAUCACCAGCAAAGAUACUUGUUCCGAACCAUUUCACAUUCAUGAUUCAGUCCACAAUAUUUACGGGUCCCUGCCUUUCAGGCCUGGUGUUACAGGUAAUGUACUAAUUCUCUAUCACUUUUUGGCUAACUCAAUGUAAGAAAAAGACUAAAGUCCUUUGGAUACAUUUGGUAAUGUGAAUUAGGUCGAUGGGGUUAUAGUACCACCUGAUGGACCAGAGUCCUGGCCAAAAAACAACAGCAGGCGCCAAUGGCUCGUUUUUUAUCGAAUCAACAAGAUGUCGCUGCAAGGGAGUGGUGUUAUAGAUGGGAGAGGAGACAAAUGGUGGCAACUUCCCUGCAAGCCCCACAUGGUAUUUUGUUUAAGUUGUUCAUAUUUGGUCUUAAACAUUUAGUGAUCUAGGAAACUGCUUACAUUGAUCAAUUUUUCACAGGGAAUAAAUGGAACCACCUUGCCUGGACCAUGUGAUAGCCCAGUUGUAAGUUUCAAAUUUUUUGUUUUAAGUAACAUCAGCUAACUAUAUUAUUGAGCUUUGAUUUAAUAUGAUGAUUUAUUUAUGCAGGCCAUUAGAUUUUUCAUGAGCUCUAACUUGACAGUACAAGGUCUUAGGAUUAAGAAUAGCCCCCAAUUCCACUUCAGAUUUGAUGGUUGCAUAAAUGUGAAUGUAGACUCCAUUUCUAUAUCAGCUCCUGCUCGAAGUCCGAAUACAGAUGGGAUUCACAUAGAGAACACCAAUGAUGUAAAAAUUUAUAAUUCUGUAAUUUCUAAUGGUACGAGCACUGUACUGAACCUUCAAAUCUACUACUUGUCAGCGAAUUGGCUCUCAUGCAUGAUGUUACUAAUAUCACUUCUGUUCUUUAGGUGAUGAUUGUGUAUCAAUUGGAUCAGGCUGUUAUGAUGUAGACAUUAGAAACAUCACUUGUGGCCCUGGUCAUGGAAUCAGGUAAUUCGCUAUUGUUUUGGUUUACUAAUCAGUAUCACAUGAUCUAAUUAAUUUACAAAUUUGUGAUUUUUUAUUUCGACUGACCUUUGUGUUCCUCACCCUUGUGCUUAGCAUUGGGAGUCUCGGAAACCACAACUCGCGAGCCUGUGUUAAAAAUAUUACAGUUCGAGACUCUAUUAUUAGAGUUUCGGAUAAUGGAGUUAGGAUCAAGACAUGGCAGGGUGGAUCCGGAGCAGUGUCCGGAGUAACUUUCAGUAACAUUCACAUGGACAAUGUUAGGAACCCCAUUAUGAUUGAUCAAUUUUACUGCCUUACUAAGCAGUGCAGCAAUCAAACCGCAGCGGUAUAUGUAUCGAACAUCCUAUACUCGGGCAUAAAAGGAACCUAUGAUGUCCGGAAUGCUCCAAUGCAUUUUGGCUGCAGUGAUUCUAUGCCAUGCACCAACUUAACACUCUCAGAUGUUGAGCUUCUUCCAGCUGUAGGAGAUAUGAUGUCAGACCCUUAUUGUUGGAAUGCUUACGGACAACUGCAAACGCUUACUAUUCCACCAGUCUCUUGCUUGUUGGAGGGUGCUCCUAGAACUUUACUGAGCGAUGAAAUAGACCGCUGCUGAUACAUCAGUCCAUGGAUUCAUCUUAGGUCUGUAAAGCAAUUAGAAAUCCAUAACUACAAGAGGAAUUAGGAAUCUUUCUGGAUUGUAAUUCUAAUUUUAAUUGUGUGAUUAUAGAGGAGAGAUAUUUAUGCGCUCCCUAUCUUAUCAUAUAUAUACAAUCUAUGUUUUUCUUCAAGUUCUUGUCCUGGAGAUGAAUUUUUAUAGCUUGUAUUUAGAAAAAGUAUUCUAGCUCUGCUGCUGUAACUCAUGUUUGAUUUGUAGGGAAUGUUGGAUAACCAUUUUACUUGGGAAAAUUGAAUAAGCUGCAGUAAGACGACAAUGUAUAAUUGUAUAUCAACCUAUCAAUAUGGGAUGCACUCUCAGAUAUGUGAAACCAGAUAGAGAAACUGAGAAACUUGCUGGUGUAGGGUUUAGGGUUUAGGGCCCUAAACCUGGUGUAGCCCCACACUAAACCUUGGAAAUUAACCAACAAAGAAUUGGAUGAUGCGAAUUUGAGGCUUCGAGAUUUCAUAUAUAUACCAUCUUAGACAAGCAUGCACUGCAUGUAUAAUCAAACUAUAUAACGACCUUUUCAAAUAAAAGUAAACUGUUAUCUAGCCAUGGAUGCCAUUCACAGAGACUACGGUAAACUUUAGUUUUCUUUCCUUGCAUUCAGCGCACCUUAAAUUAAGCAUUCGAAAAUGCGCAUAUAAUCGGUUAGCAAUUGAGACACCAUGCAGAGCAGGCAUCCACAUAUAGCAGUAGUUUUUUAGGUUCAUGUUGUCAGAUAAAUAAAAGCUUACAUGUACCAGUCUCAUGUUUGUCAAGUUGAUGCAUGGGGCAGCUAGAAUUUUUAAGGUUAACUUGGCUCUCUAACAGCAAAAUCACACUACUUUUAAUAAGGGAUAGUAACUAAUCUUCAUUUGCAGUAGUAGUAAUUAUUAAAUGUGUAAAAGUUCCCAUUUCUAGUUCUAGUAAGCUUGCACUAAAUUAUUAGAUUAAAGCUUUUGUGACAUAGCUAGUCAGACUCAGAGAAUAAUUAAGAAUAUAAAUUUGGCAAAUGAUGACAGAUUUACAAUACCAUUGUCUUCUUAACCUAGAUUAGAAAUUGUAGAACAUUCCAAAUUUCCAUUAACAAUUAGGAGAGAGAGAGAGAGAGAGAGAGAGAGAGAGAGAUUGUUCAAAAUUAAGAAACUGAAUAGCUUAAAAGCCGGUUGAAAGAUGAUGAUUAGAGAAUAAUAGUAUUGUAUGAGAGUGAGUGAAGUUAAGAGGAUUUGUCGACUAGAACAGUCAGAAGAGCACUGAGUUUGAUAUUGGUUUUUUGGUGUUGGAGUGGAGAGGAAGGAGGGACAUUCUCUAUGGCUUUCUUGCACGCGCAGUCUCCGAUAUGAGAAGUAGAGUAGUCUGAUAAAGAAAAAGUUUAGGUCGGUGCACGGGCUAGAGUCCAAUGCUCACCCACCAAAUUUGCCUUUUCCAUCAAUCUAAGCUCUCUACUUCCUCCACAAAAUAUAUUAGGUAUUUCAACCCCUCACCGGCUUGAACAUCGAUCUAGCUAGCUAGCACCCUUUUUUUUUUCAUCGACUGAUGGGGCUUGCUUGUAAGAAAAUGCUCAGAACAAAUACGAGUUCCUGAAGCUGCGAUUGAUUCUAUAAGAAAAUGCUCACACGUACAUAACUGUUAGGUCCCCUACCAUUUCUACAUUUCAGAAUCUAAGCUCGCUUUAUCACCUUUCGGCACAUGCAAUUCUCUCCUUGGUCUCUUAUGAACCAUAACCACUGUUUCUCUUCAAUUCCAUUCCAAUGAUAUCGGUUUAACAUAUGUAAUGCCUUAAGAUGUGUUUGUGGAUCUCUUCCCUAAAGUUUUAGCUUUUAAAGGUGGAAUGGUUAUCACAUAUCUAACUUGUUGGUAUAAGAUUUACUUAUAAAUAUGUAUGCGGAAUUAUAAGUAUGGAGAGAGGAUGAGAAGCGGACGUCGGCACUCGGCUUAAAGUGCGGACGUCGAGUGCGGACGUCCGUCCGUUCUCCACCCUCCGGCGCCGGCGACGGCGCGCCUCCACCCCAUAACACUCCAGCAGCGUCCCCGACCACUUUCCCUCCCCGGCGAGUCUGUUUUUUUCCAGUUUCCGGCGAGAUCGAAUUUGUUUGAAGUUUUGGGUGAUCUCGCCGAAAAACUGGAAAAGAACGGACUCGCCGGGGAGAGAAAGUGGUCAGGGACGCUGCUGGAGUGUUCUGGGGUGGAGGCGCGCCGUCGCUAUCGCCGGUGCCGGAGGGUGGAGAACGGACGGACAUCCGCACUUUAAGGCCGGUGCGGACGUUCGCUCCACAUCCGGCCUGUAUAAGUACAUAUUCAAGACAAGAACACAUAUACGAUGUAUAUACAAGAGUGAAAUGCUAACCUGAAUAAGACAUAUCUGAUCUUCUCCUCUGAACAAUCGACUAAAGGCAAUCUCCACUUAUGGGGCUGAGAACUUGAAUGCUUGGGGUGAUUGUUAGAGCAGGGAUCAAGGUCAAUAUAUAGACAUUGAGGAUUAGGUGCCUCCCAUAAAGGUUUCCUAAUCCUUCUACAUUAAGGCCAACCUUUUUCCUGUUCCAUAUGCAAAUAGGUAUACUUCAUUACCUAAUAAGUAAACCUUACAAAUCAGUACUGAUACUAACAGGAAAUUAAUCAUGAGUCUGAUGAAGGCAAGAAAUGUCUUACUUAUUGCUUAUUUUGUAAUUAUGUAGCUUAGUUAUUGAUACUUAGUGAAUCAUUGAUAUUUGAUAGUCCACAUUAAGUCUUACAGUUGGUACUAGAGUGGGUUUGAUUCCGAUCGAGACUUUCGGUUCUCCUUUCUCAGUUAUUGGUUAAGUGAGUUUGAAUAAGGAAGUUGGUGUAUGUUUACAUUGUAUGCAUGGUCGUUGUACUAAUAAUACUAGCUAGCUCGUCGCACUCUUGCAGUAAUCUGAGAUCCUCUCAAAGUUCCUCCAUUAGAAAUAUUGAUGGGAAUUUUGGAAGGUCUGAACUUUGAAGUAACCCGCUCCUCAACAGGGGCGGAACCAUGUUACGGUUCGAAGGGGUUCGGACCCCCCCUGAUGUUUUGGCAGAUGAUCGAUUCUCAUGUGAAAUUAUUGAUAUUUAAUUCAUUUGAUCAACUAUAUAUAAGUAACUAAUUAACCGGCGUUGGUUCUUAAUCAAAAACUAACCAUUAGUUGGUUAGAUUAAUAGAAGGAAAUAUAUAAUCACUAUAGUUAGGCCGUGGUAAUUAAUGGUUUUUGCUUCUUUUUUUUUCUUUACAAAUAUGAUUUUAGCUUGGAAUGAAAGAAAAUUUUACGUUAAUUUUGUACGAGAAAUUUUAUUCACACACCUCAAAAUACUAGAUACACAUAUCUUUUAUCACAUAAUUUAUACAAGAUUUUGUGGUUACGUAAAAUUACUAAAAGAGACAUUCAUAUUGGGGAAAAUGUCUAUUUAAUACUAAUUGUAACCCUUCAUUGCCCAUUUCAAUGACAAUCUUUUCUAUGAGCCCAUUUGAAUAAAAGUAAACUUUUUUUAUGCCCAAAUGGCCAAAUCUUUACUAAGGUCUCCACAAACUAUAUUAUUUUAAGACUAUUUUGCUCCUACCUCUUCAACAUGAAAAGACUUGGCCAGAACCUCGGACUCCGGUCACCGGCAGCUAGACUCCGAUCACCGGCCGUUGGACUCCGGUGACCGGCCGCCGGACUCCGGUGACCGGAAUUUUCCCGACCUCCGGACUCCACUCACCGGAAUUUCCCCGACAGCCGGACUCUGGUCACCGGAAUUUCCCCAGUAACCCUAGUUACUGACCAGUUACUGACACCUAGUAACCAGUUACUGACCCCCAGUAACCAGUUCUUGAAACCUAGUAACCAUUUACUAAAAUGCCCAAAUGCCCAAAAACGGCUAAAACAAUGCCCAAUCUAAUGAAAAAAAAAUUUCAUUGCCCAUAUCAAUGAUUCUUAACAAAAAGACAUUUUCACCCUUUUUAGUAAUAACACCACCUCGUUUUUUUACAUAUCAAAAUUCAACUCUCUCUUCUCUUUCUCUUUCUCUUUCUCUUUCUCCUCUCUCCUCUCUCUCUCCUCUCUCAGAUGUGAUCUGAAUCCACUUGNNNNNNNNNNNNNNNNNNNNAACACACACACACACACACACACACACACUCUCUCUCUCUCUCUCUCUCUCUCUCUCUCUCUCUCCUUCCAACGCCGUCGUCUCUCCUCCACGCUCCGAUGCCUCAUCUCCGGCGUCGACGGCGGUGGCGUCUCCGACGAGUUCGUCUCCACUCGGAAGUCCAACCUUGACCGCUGAUUCUCCGUCAUCGCCAACAUGCUCAAGUGGAUUGAGCCGCUUGACAGCUCCGUCAUCUCCAAAGGCGUAUCGGAUUCCGCUAAGGACUCGAUGAAGCAGACCAUCUCUACUAUGCUGGGGCUGCUUCUGUCCGAUCAGUUCUCCGUCACCGUUAAGGUUUCUAGAGCUUCGUUCGAUCGCCUCAUUGCCUCUUCCAUUAUCACCGGGUAUUGAUUGUGAUAGAUGAGCAAAUUGGUUUAGUCUAUUUUUGGGUUAUAACUUGCUGAAGUAGAGAAUUUUGUAUUGGAACUAUGUUUGUAUGUGUUUUGAAUGAUUAUUGGGGGUCAUUAAAAGUCAUUGGGAGUUGGUAAUUUUUUUUAAGGUUUCUUUUUUGUUAGAAUCACCUUCUACUUAUUCUUCUUCUACUAUCUUCUUCGUUCUUCUGUGUUUUUAUUGAUUAUUGGGGAUAGUAACCCGAUUAUUAGGGGUUAGUAAUUUGAUUAUUAAGGUUAAUAACUUGAUUAUUUUCUAGUAUUUUUUCUGUUCUAUUACAUUAAGAUGAAAUAAGUAGAUUAUUGUGGGUCAGUAACUAAUUAUUGAGGAUUAGUAACUCAGUUACUGGGGGUCAGUAACUGGUUACUGGGUGUCAGUAUCUGGCCAGUAACUGGUCAGUAACUAGUUACUGGAUGUCAGUAACUGGUCAGUAACUAGUUAUUGGGGGCCAGUAACUAGUUACAGGGAAAAUUUCGGCGACCGGAGUCCGGCGGUUGAGAAAAUUCCGGUGACCGGAGUCCGGCGGCCGGUGACCAGAGUCCGGUGAGAUUCCGGCCAAGUAUUCUCUCUUUCAUUUUCUCUCUCUAUACAUGUUUAAGGGGUGAGGGUAAAAUAGUCUUAAAAUAAUAUAGUUUGUUAAGACUUUAGUAAAGAUUUGUGCAUUUGGUCAUAAAGAUUUGUGUAUUUGGGCAUAAAAAAGAUUACCUUAUAUUGAAAUGGGCUAAUGAAAAAGAUUGUUAUUGGAAUGGGAAAUAAGAGGUUUAAAUUAGUACUAAAUAUGCAUUUUCCCUAAAAGUAAAGAAACGUAGUUAAAAUUGAAUAUCCCGCUUACGGGUUUUCUUCUCUCUACGAUGGUAUUAUAAUUCUUUUCUGGUAAGGAAGAACUAGAGAUCCAGUUCAUAGAGAUGCUAGAAAUUCAGUGCUUGUGACACAGUACGGAAACUCAAUGCUUGUGACCUCUACGAGAUUGCUAUUCUAAAUUUUCACAAGCAUCAAAGACACAUUGGCCUAUAGCAAGUUUUUUCGAGAAGUACAACCUGGAAGGAGGAGAUGUAGUACAAUAUAUCUACCACGAAGAAGCUGAGUUUUCAAAGAAGAUUCAUAAAGCAAAUGGAAU
rnacentral:lncRNA from 1 species